rnacentral:lncRNA from 1 species
CUCAAUUGAAGCAUCCAUUAACUCAGGUUCCACUUCUCGCAGUAACUUCCCUAGCAAAUGUGAUUCAUUAAGGAAGUUACAUUGCACAACAAAUCAAUGAUACCUCUCGUGCAUAUUUUGUAGAAUACAACUAAAUAAAACUGCUUUAGCAAAUAGAAAAAAGGACAAAGAAACUUCUGUUUCAACUGGAAAUGAAAAAAAAUAUCUACAGCAAGCAAAACUUCAGAUUUUUCACACAGCUUGAACAUUCAUCUACGACUUUCCCAAGCAAAUCAUUAGCAUUUACUUAUCAUUCAUCAAUAUAUGCUUGAGGAACUAUACUGCAAGUACCAUCCAAGCAUUUUAAAAAGUACAAGCCGACACACUCAAACUCAAUCUAAGUGGGGAAAAAGCGGCAGUUGGGAAAGAGCUGCUUACUCCAAGGACUAUUUUGCCCAAAAAGAACUCAUCGUGCAAUAGCCAAGCGUAGCAAAGCAGAUACCAGGUGAAGCGGCAAGAAAGGCGAAAAGAUUCUUGCAAACACACACGUACACACUCGCAAAAAUAUGAAUAAAAAUGUGAUAGUACCAAUGUAAUUGAACUGCCUUCGCUUUCCUUCUCGAACAUCCGGUUUCAGUCUCUGCAACAAAUCCACAAACAUGUCCACGGCAUUAACAAAUAAGAACUCAGACCAAAAGCCUCACGAGAAACAGCCCCACGUUGCAGAGGCAUCACCUUCGCAAGAAUCCAAGCGUCCAAGGCCGCUUGCUCCAGAGAAGCCACUCUGCAAUUCCCCUUUUAAAAAGAAAGCGAUAAUGAAUCUACAGUGCUGCAUUAUUGGACAUCAUUAUAUCCACGAAGCCCGUGAAAGCUCAAAAUGGCUCCGCCUCCAAGACACAUCUUUUUUUCCCAGUAGUAUCUGAGGAAGCGCUUGGAUCUUGAGAUGGGAAAAGGAAGCGAGUUCCAUGCCCCAGGGGACGUCGCGGCCAAGCCUCGCGCUUCUUCUGGUUGAGGCUUUUCUGGGCGUCACAGUCGGAGUCGCUGCCAUCUUCUCGGGCUAUCGUACGGCGGCGGACAGUUGGGGAAUCUGAGCCCGUGCGGCCGGUGAUGCGGCCGGCGAUGGACGUUGUUCCAAAGGGCGAAAGAGAUAUCUGGAUAAUGGCUCUCGCUUCAUUUUCCUGUUUUUUGGCUCUCUUUUUUUAAGUUGAGUGCUUGACAAAUUUCAUUGUUCAUCUUUUCAAUUCAACUCAUAUACAAUUACAACAAGAUACAAAAGGAGAAGACAUUAAAACAAUGUCAUUUGAAGCAGGUUAGGUGACAUCUUUAUUCACCGAACAUACAUUACAUGGUUUAAAGAGACAACUCCUCAAUAAUUUCACUGUCCAUGAAACUUGAUAGCCUUCCACUCUAGCUUCUCCAUCCACUGGGCCAUAGUUCGCUCCAACAUUCUCACGCCUUGUGAGAGCCAUUUGAGUCUUCUCAUUUCAAAUGCAAUGUACGCUAUGGAAAUCCCAAUGACAAUUCCAGAAGUAUAAUCUAUCCGAAUUACUUUCUAUUUGAACCAACUCUCUUGUCCUUCGUGGUCCUAAGUAGAUGAGGACGAUGGUGGAGGAAAUUGAGCAUUGCCGGGGCAUGCUUUCGGCAAUGGAGUUCCACAUAAGCUUAGAUUCCCAUUGAACGAACCGCUUGAAAAUGUGAUCAAUUGCUUGUCUUGAGGAAUUCGGCCAAUGAGUUGGUUCUUCGAGAGGUUUAAGUACCCAAGGAAUGCCAAAUCUCUCAAUACUCUAGGAAUUCCCCCUCUAAGCUUGUUCGAAGAUAGAUCAAGCCAUUCAAGUUUAGUCAGGUUUCCUAAAGUUAGAGGGAUGGAACCUGUAAGGUGAUUGUGUGAAAGGUUUAGCCCUAUGAGAGAGCAAAGAUGGCCAAAAGCUUCAGGAAUGUCUCAUUGGAAAAAGUUGCGUGACAAGACAAUGGUUGUGAGUAUAGUCAAUAUUUUUAGUAGCUUAAUCUCUAGCUCUUUCAUGGUCAUGAUCACGGAGCUAUCAUAUGACCCCCCUUGCAAAGAUUGUGUCAUAUACAAUGAUUUGUCUUGCCUAGUUUCGCCAUUCACUAUGGCUUUAAGGUUCAUUAUCAAAUUGAUUGGCAAAGAACCACUAAAAUUGUUAUUGGAGAGAUCCAAAAUGUGUAACUUUAGAAAGAUGUGAACUCCCUUAGGAAUAUCCAAAAGAUCCUUAAAAUUGUUGGACCUCAAAAUGAGAACUUUUAGUUUUAGGAGCGUUCCCAACGAUCUCGAGAACGUAUCCUCUAUAUGAUUGUUGCUCAAAUCUAGAACUUCUAAACUUUUACAUUUGAUGAGGGACUGAGGUAAUGUGCCUCUAAACCAAUUUCAACUCAUGUCAAGAGUCAUCAAGUUAUUUCUAGAAGAAAAUGAUUGAGGAAUUAUGCCCUCAAGGUGAUUCAUUCGCAAGUCCAAAACUGAUAGGUCGAUGCUAAAAUUUGUUAUGCAUCGAGACAAGCUAUCUGUUAAGCCAUCGUUGGACAAAUCAAUGAACUCGAGGUUGGUGGCAUUGCAAAUCAAAGAGGGAAUAUUUCCCGUUAUAUUGUUACUUGCAAUGGAAUAAUAAAAUGUGACGGGUGAUGGAAGCGGGAUUUGGCCUCCAAACUUGUUUUUGGCCAAAUCUAUUAUAGCCAAUGUGGUGUUUGAGAAAAGCUCUACCAGCCACUAUCCUAUAAAAUUGUUAUCGGAAAUAAAUAAAGAUUCAAGAGCAAGAAAGGAUAGUCUAAAAACAGUAAGGUUAAUCUUACCAUGAAAUUUGUUGGAUCGCAAAUCAAGGUACACCAGAUGCGAUGCUUCCAGCCAUCAUGAGUAGGGGUGAUCGGGUCUAAGGUGGGUAGGGUUUAGACCUAGACCUUGUACCCGACUCUGUUAUAACCGGUUCAUCUUUUGGACCCUAUACCCGACCAUGUUUGUAUUGGACCUUGUACCCAACCCACCCUAUUUUUCCGAUCCGGUUCCAAGGUCAACCUUGUUUCCACUUGAACUUGUUUUGCAAUCUCCCGAUAUCCUAUACGACUUCAAAUUUUAUAUUAAUACGUGAGAAAAUAACGUAAUCAUUCUAAUUUGUAUCGAAACAUUAAGCACUUGUAAUAAAUAAAUACAUGAGUUUUUUGACUAAACGAAAAAUUAAGGAUCCACAAGGCUAAUUAUAAUAAAUAAAAUCAUAAAACAAAGAAUUAGCAACAAACAUGGGUCUAAUAUUAGCCUUAUUCCAACAACUACUACAUGAAGCUACUCAUUUAUGCAAGCAUAACUCCUCCUACAAAAGAGAAAUUAGGUGAGCCAAUCCAUAUGAUACACAAGAAUUUGGCGGUGAUGAACACCGUCCGUCCGUCGAACAGUGCGAGAGGGAACCCAUGAGGGAGGGAAGCAAGUGAGGAAGAGGAAUGACAAAGGAGGAGUGCCGUGCAUGUUUGAGAGAGCCAAGAAGAAAAAUGUCGUGUGAUUGCGGGAGUAAGAAUAGAAAUUGGGAGAAAAAGAAGGGUUUUAGACCUCUACUUGCAAAACUGGUUCGGGAAUUGGUUCCAAAACCGAUCUAGGAACCGGUUUCCGGGUAGGUAAUUACUUGGAACUUGUUCCCGAACCGGUUUAAACGGGUUCCGAAUUUUGGAAACCAAUUCCUGACCCUAUUUUCCGGGUGGCCCGGUCUGAGAACCGGGUAUACCUAGUCCUAAUCAUGAGGGGAAAUCACUAAAUUCAUUGUGACCAAGAAGUAGUGUUUCUAAGUUAAUGUGUUUGACUAGGGAGCAUAGUAAUGGCCCUUGUGAUUUAUUGCCUCCCAAAUCUAGCCUUUUUAGAUCAGUUAUAUUACCAAAACAUACCGGUAUAUUCCCAGAGAGAUUAUUGUUAGACAAAUUUAAAGACCAGAGUGAGCUCAAUUGGCAAAUUAAACAAGGGAUCUCACCAGUGAGACCAUUGUUUGAGGCAUUAAAGUCAAGUAUAGUAGGUGAAGGGAUCAAGAGUGGUCAUUGGAAUGAGUUGUUGUGAAGGUCAAUUAAUGACAAACUCUUCGAAUGCAUUUGUUGUAUACCUCCAUCCAGAAAGUUAUGAGAAAGAUCUAAUGAAUCCAAUGUAUCAUGACUUAUUUCCCUAAACCACUUUGGGAUCUCCCCACUAAUCCUAUUCCUAGAGAGAUCUAAGACCAUUAAUCUUUUUAACAGAUAUAAGAAAUAGGGGAACUCGGUCAAGUUGCAAGAAGUCAACCAUACCCAUUGAAGAGGAAAGGUUGAAUGAGAGAGAUUUUGAUAAGUCGUUUUUGGAAUUGCACUCAGAUUGUGCGGAAUGUGGAAGUGAGCAAGGUCAUUUUGAGAAAGGUCGAGCAUCCAAAGAUGGUGAAGGAGAAGAAGAAGGGGGGAGCUAUUAGAGUGGAGAGCGCCGUGAAGCCAACUACAAGCAAGAAUGAGUUUAAUGACAUUACUAGUAACAUAGUCGCAACCGACAUUGUCCCACGAGCAGCAAUCUACGUCAUUGUUCCAUGAGUUUGUCUUUGGAUAAGAUGUGUAACAGGAGUCCGAUGCCAUGCUAUCAAGCAUGGAGGAGUUCUUAAAAUGGAGCAAGGCAUUGCGCACAUCAGGAGGGCACAGGGACAUGCGAAAGGAAAGGGAGGAAUUCACAGGGGGGAAGGGAGAGGAAAGGGAGGAAUAUAGAAAGGGUGAAUGAGAGAAAAAGAAAAAAAAAACAGAAAAAAAAAAAAAAAAGAAAGAAAGGAGGUCGAGGAUCUGAUGCCACCCUAUUUUGCGGUUUAGAAAGCACGCAAGUGCUUCGACUUAUAAAGUGUGAAGUGAUGAACACCAAGUCUUCCGAUAUGACGAGUUCAACUUGUCUUGCGGUUUGUGAAUUAAUUUAAUACGCCUAGUUCAACCAACUAUAAAAGGCUUUACGCCCAACCCAUUUUUCUGUAAUCCUUUAUUAAUCUUAACCAACAUCAGAAAAAGCUAUUAGAUCCACCCCAUUAUUCAGUCUAGGAUCCGAGUGAGUUUAUUGGUGGCUGGGAUAGGGAUUCAACUUAUGUAGCCCUUCUAAUAAGCCAAGUUCUCUCCACGCGUCUGCUCUCAAAGGUCUGUUGGAAGGCUGGUACCAAAUAUAUAUUUUAUUCCUAGUGCUUUCACCGAAAGCUAUCCCAAAUGGGAUUGGAUUCCCAGGUAAAAGCGUUCCAGCUCUGUCCAAAGUAAACAAAGUUUAGGGAAGCAAAAAAUAAAGCAGCAGGAAGUGGCCUUCCAAAGACUACAUUGAAUAUCACGUUUUCUUUGUCAUAUGAGUAUUUUCACCCUCGCUAAAAUUAGACAAAGAAACUCCAAUAGAUAAACUUGCCAUGAAAUGGUCUUAAUUAGACUGAACCAUAUUUCAGGACACUUUUCUUUUUUCUUUUCAUUGACGCUAGAGUCAUGUUCACGGAUGAGCCGAAAAGAAAUGAAAUGAUAUCAUCAUUCAAUAUCGGUUCGAUGGGUAAUGUCUUUUGUCCGUAAUUAGAAAGAAAAUGCUUAUCGAUUUGAAUCACCCAAAAAAAAAUCUCUUUUGGCUAAAAUAAAUCUUAAUCAAACCUCUCAUUUUGGUUAAAAAUACGGUACAAAAAUGUAGAAAAUCAACACAAUCUCUUAUUAGUAUAUGAGUUCUGAUUACUUAUGAUUCUGACAAUUUUCAUACAAAUUCCCCAGUUUCUUUUUCUUUUUGGCUUUUGACAAGGUUCAUAUUCACAUUGAUACAUGUCACUAACCACGAUAAGUGACUUUCUUCGAUCUCAUUGCUAAAAAGAAGGACAAGCGGAUGAGGCCAAAAUUUUGAGGGUCAUGAUAAAAGGAAUUCCUGUACGUCUCUUCGUAAUGAUUUUGACUAUACAUUUCAAUGAAAAAUGUAUAGCCAUUAAGAAUUAUUUCACAUUAAUGCAUACGAAAGUAGUUCUUCAAUCUGCAAAGAGAUGCACCCAAAAGAGAUGACAUCACUCCCAGAGAAAUUACCAAAUAAGUUUAAAACAUAUUGCAUUCGUGCCAACUCAAUUCUAAACCUAUUAACAAUUUGCCAAUUAUGUCCUUUCAGCCAAAUUUGCUUGAAAAUCACUAACGUGACACCAGGCAUCCUAUUUGGUAGGCUAGUGCUAGCAUGAACAUUUUUUUUUUGAAUUUUUUUUUUAUUUUCAUCUUUUCGUUUACUUCUUUCUUUGCUUUUUUUCUUUUCUCAUUAUGAUCAGUGAGGGUCACAGUGAACCUCGCUAGCCAUGAAAGCCCCUCCUAGACUAGGUGAGAGCUGCCUCUCCCACAACUAGUGGGGCCCUUGCCCGCAACUUUGCCAAUGUCUUUGCAGCCUCGCUAGGCAUAGGAGGCUUUUGUUGCAAGCAAGGGCCUCACCCAAAUCUAGCAAAGGCAUUUGUAGCCGGCAAAAGUCGCCGGUGACCCUCGUUGGCCACAAUGGGAAAAAGAAAAAAGAAAAAAAGAAACAUGAGAAUAAAAUUUUAAAAAAAUUGCAAAGAUUGUUCACGUUAGCAACAUCAAUCGAUCAUGUCAUGUAAAACGACUAAUACCCACAUCAAUAAUUUCUAGCUAAAUAGACUCCAUUAGCAAAUUGUCAAAAGAUUUAAGACUAAAUUGAUCUAAUUCAAAUGCUUAAAAUCAAAUUUGCUUGAGCACAAUAGAUUUAAGAUUAUUAUUUUUUAUAAUUUUCCUCGUCACUCCCUUUGUACAAAUAUUCUGGUGUCGACCCUACCCUAAUAUAUUCACCCCUAACACAACCGUCCUAGAUCUUUGUGUGUUUGUGCACGGGCACGCCUCUAUUUACAUAUAACAUCUAGUGCACUUGUUCCGUAAAUUACGGGAUAAAAUCAGGAUAGACCAAGGGCAUUGUUGAUUACCUCGUGUGCCGAUUGGUAUUUAUGUGGUAGGCUCCAUUCGCUCGCGACCUUCCCAGGCGAAAAAGGGUUUACUUAAGUGCAUAUGUACUUGUAUAGGAUUCAACUACAUCAGUACUGGCUGGCACCAGCAUGAAUAUUAUCCAGGUAGAUUCGCAUGCAAAAGCACAAACCGAGCGUCAAAAUAAAUAUUUACAAGAACAGAGCUUAACCUCCCUUUCUUUCUUUUUUUCUAUCAGACAAUUUGCAUUAUUUUGCUCCUCUUAUAACUCUCCGGAAUUGAUGAAAUUAGCAGGCAAUGGAAAGGUAAAGGCAAGUAAAUAACGUUUAGCGGCAUAACUAUUCUCUUUUGAGCCAUUGCGCAGGACUGAACCCGGCACCGAAUUAAAAUUAGCACCCCAUCAUCCACCUGCUACUCGGUUCAUACAUAAUCCUGAACCGUAGAAUGAUUCAACCGGACCCUGGAAAAAGAAAAUGUAAAUGUUGCAAAAUAGAUUAGUACAAGAGGUGAGUAUCAACUGUGUAAUCAUGUAUUGCUACAACAUAAUUGCCUCGCAAGGUUUCGAAGGAAACAAGUAGAGGACUUCUGCGCCCUUAGGAGCGCUAUGCUAGCUUCUCUCUCGUUUUCAGCAUAAACAUGGAACCCAAAAUUUAUUUUGACAAUGUGAAAAUAGGAGAUGUCAACCAUGCAAACUCUUGGCAAUUGGCAAAUGCAAGUUUCAGCAACGGGCAAUGUUUGCAUGUGCGCUGAAGAACGACCUAAACAUGGUGAAGUUUGUCGUACCAGUUGGAGCGAUGAAUUAGCCCGACCAACUAUAGAGUUGUGCAAAUGUUAACUACAUGCCAUGCAUUACCGCGUGUGGGAAACCAUCAAAUGGUCUAUGGCGUCAAGAGCUGAAUGUUAAACGAGUAGUUGAUUCAGCAGCAACCCAUGGAUGUUUUUUUUUAUGGCCGACAUGGAAUUGUUCAAGAUGCUAUAAAUGGACUGCAAGAGAUUUGAAUGCUCCAAUAUAUAAAACUAAACGCUCAAACAGUAAGAGAUAUCUGUCAACUUACUUGCCGGUCAAAAUAAAUGGUGUGAAUGGAGAAAACUUCAUUGGCCAUUUGAAUGUCUUUACUGAUUAAACCAUCAAACCACCUGCUUGCUAUGCUUGAGUGCUCACGACACUCCUGGGAAUUGAAAAUUGAAAAGCAAGUCAACAUUGAGAAACUUGAACACAUGUUAGAGAAGGAAGAUGGACAUUGUGAAGAACUACAGUUUCAUGCUUGACCAAUGGAUCACAUCACUAAUGAACCACUUUCUCGAUAUAUGUAUGAUUUGGCAUAUUUUACGGGUGAUAAAGAUCUCAUACCAUCUCUUCCUAACAAAAAGCGUUUAUCACGUGUUAUAUCUUUGGAUAAUUAAAAAAAGUUGUUCAUCGUCUAAAUCUGCGGUAUCGACAGUAACCUAUACAGCCAAGAUUCAACCUUGCCGUGCACUUCUAAAAAGGUAGGAGUAGCCCUUGACAAAAUUGGAAAUGAGUUAUUAAUGGCUCUAUUAUAGAAAACAGGUUAAAUGUUCUUGCUGAAGUUUUUUGUAGGAAAAACUGCUCCUGCUCCGCACUACUUUCUAUGCAAACUUAAACAUAAGUCUCCCUUUUCCACUAAAAAGUAGCAAGUUUGGUUACUAAGUAACUAAUUUACCCAAUACAUGUAAGACUUAAGUUUCGAAUUUUGGGUUUCAUCCAAGACCCUUUUGGCCAGUAAAGGGCAGAGCAAAUGGAUUCUGUUGCAGAAAGAUUCAUGUGAAGUCUGCUGACCAAAGUUGCACAGGGCAAUUAGGGAAGACAAUCGUGCAAGGUGGAGGAGGAAAUGGAUUGAUACUGCUUUCACAUCCAGUGUCAUUUUAAAGAAAAACGGAGAACAAGAUGAAAUGCAGAAAAAGACAAAGAAAGUGUGGUUUCAAAGAAAGGGACACGUGAAUUUAAAGGCAAAGGUGAGCUCCCACAAAGAUUGUGUCUUCUGAUAAACACUUUUUUUUAGACAAUUUUAUGUAAGUUUUUGUGUUAUAUGAACUAGACCAGAUUAUUUGGCACAUUAAAUGUUUCAAAUUUAUCGUAUCCUCUAUGAUAUUGAAAAGGUAAAGUAAUUAUUCAUUUCAAGCAUGUCUAUGAAUGCGUAAUCCUAAGUGCUGAUAGUAUUUUACAGAAGAAAAAAUAUUACCUUUCUCCCUCCAUGUACGUUCCCCGCGUAGCAUAUCUGCUUUUCUGCAGACUCAAAUCAUUUAAAUAUUAUGUCAUUAACCCAUUAAUUAUAUGUGGCAAUCGUCACUUUUAUUCCUAGGAUAUAGGAAAAUUGUCGUGCACACACGUAUUAUGUUGUAUGGGCUAAUGUAUCUAAUUCCAUGUAUAAGGUUUCCAUGGCUUAGGACACCCGUAGAAAUCAGCACCUCUCGGUAAAUACGAAGCCAGGGAUUCCAGUCUAUGCUUAGAUUUUUUAAUAAAAACUAGGGCACUAAGGAUCAAAUCAAGUCAGUACAGGUAAAACUUUCUUCUCUAGGUGAUUGGGAAAUUGACUCCUCACACAUCCCAGACAUGUUGAACUUGUUUUCCUCUAAGAGGAUGCAAAUGAAACUUUAUGUGGCAGCGGUAGGCAAUGCAGAUUUUUUUCAGUGACAAAGUUAAAACCAGGUACCUCCUCCUCUUGUUCUUGCUCGAAAUCUUCUUCUCCUUCAGCAUCAUCUUCGCCAAACCACACCUCGGAUACAGAUAAAGCUCACAGCCUACUGUGGUCACCAUCUUUUGUAGCCUCAAUUAAAGCAUCCAUUAACUCAGGUUCAAAUUCUCGCAGCAACUUCCCUAACAAAUAUGAUUCAUUAAGGAAGUUUACAUUGCAUAUUAUGGAUUCAUGAGGCAUCAAUGAAUCAUUGAAUCAACACCUCUUGUGCAUAUUUUGUAGAAUAAAACUAAAUAAAAAUGCCUUAGCAAAAAUAAACAAAUAAAAUUGAAGAGAAAAAAGGCCAAAUACACUUGUGUUCCAUCUGGAAAUGAAAAAAAAGCGUUCAGCAAGCAAAAUUUCAGAUUUUUCGCACAGCUUGAGCAUUCAUGUAUGGCUCUCCCAACCACAUCAUUAGCAGUUACUUCAUCAACGUAUGCUCAAGGAACUAUACUGCAAUUAGUACAAGCUGACAUACUCAAACACAAUCGAAAGGGGGGAAAAGGGGCAGUUAAAAAAGAGCUUCUUAUCUUAAGAACUAUUUUUUUGGGCAAGAACUCAUCGUGCAAUGGCCAAGCAUAGCAAAGAAGAUGCCAGGUGAAGCGGCAAGAGAGGGGAAAAGAUUCUCACAUAGACACUCACAAAAACAUGAAUGAAACGUGAUAGUACCAAUGAAAUUGAAAUGCCUUCGCUUUCGUUCUCGGACAUCCGGUCCUGGUCUCUGCGGUAAAUCAACAAAAAUCUCAACGGCAUGAACAAGUGACAGCUCAGACCAAAAGCCUCAAGAAAAACAGUCACGCAUUGAAGAAGCAUCACCUUCGCAGGCAUCUGAGCGUCCAACACCGCUGACUCCAGAGAAGCCACUCUGCAAUUCCCCUUCUAAAAGAAAGGAUAAUGAAUCUACAGUGCUACGUUAUUGAACAUCAUUAUAUCCACAAAGGCCGUGAAAGCUCAAAAUCGCGCCGCCUCCAAGACACAUCUUUUUUUCCCAGCGGUAUCUGAGAUGCCCUUGAUUUGGGAAUGGGAAAGGAAGCGAACUCCAUGCCCCAGGGGAAAUUGCGGCCGAGCCUCGUGCUUCCUCUGGUUGAGGCUCUUCUGGGCGUCGGAGUCGGAGUCGUAGUCGCUGCCGUCAUCUUCUCGGGGGAUCGUACGGUGGCAGGCGGUUGGGGAAUCAGAGCCCUCGCGGCCGGUGAUGGACGUCGCGGUGUGCCGAAGGGACCACAUCGUCUGGAACAGACAACGGUGAGGCGACGUUGUUCCAAAGGGCGAAAGAGAUAUCUGCAGUGGAUAAUGGCUCUUGCUUCAUUUUCCUUUUUUUUUUUUUUUUUUCUAAGCCAUGUGCUUGACAAAUUUCAUUAUUCAUCUUUUCAAUUCACCAAGAUACCAAAGGAGAAGACAUUAAAAACAGGCCUUCAUAAGGGAAAUGACAUUUGAUGCCAAUUAGAUGGCAUCUUUAUUUACUAAGGCUACAUUACAUGGUUUAAAGAGACAACUUCUCAAUAAUUUCACUGUCCAUGAAACUUGAUGGCUCUCCACUUUGGCUUCUCCAUCCAUUGGACUGUACUUCUCUCCAGCAUUCUCACGCCUCGCGCGAGCCAUUUGGGCCAUCCUGUUUGAAUUGCAAUGUAUGUUAUAGAAAUCCCAAUGACAAUUCCAGAUGCAUAACAUAUCCACACUACUUUCUGUUUGAACCAACUCUCAUGCCCUUCGCGGUCUAGAGUCGAUGAGGACGAUGGUGGAGGAGGUUGAGCAUUGCCAAGGCAUGCUUUUAACAAUGGAGUUCCACAUAAGCUUGGAUUUCCACUAAACGAGUCAUUUGAAAAUGUGCUCAAUUGUUUGUCUUGAGGAAUUCGACCAGUGAGUUGGUUCUUCGAGAGGUUUAAAUACCCAAGAGAUGUCAAAUCUCCCAAUGCUCUAGGAAUUCCCCCACUAAGCAUGUUCAAAGAUAGAUCAAGCCAUCCAAGAUUAGUCAAAUUUCCUAAAGUCAAAGGGAUGGAACUCGUAAGGUGGUUGUGAGAAAGGUUGAGCCCUAUGAGAUAGUGAAGAUGGCCAAAAACUUCAGGAAUGUCUCCUUGGAAAAAGUUGUAUGAUAAGUCAAUAGUUGUGAAGAUGGUCAAGAUCUUCACUAGCUUUGUCUCUUUCCCUUUCAUCAUCACGGUCACGGUAUUUUCAUAUGACGGCACAAAGGAAUAGGAAUACUAGGAAUACUGUGUCAUGUACAAUGGUCCAUAUCGCCCAUCUUCUGUAUUCUUCGUGCCUUCAAGGUUCAUUAUCAAGUUGGCUGGUAAAUGACCGCAAAAGUUGUUGUUCGCGAGAUCCAAAAUGUGCAAUUUUGUAAAGAUGAGAUCUCCCUUCCGAAUGUUCAAGGGACCCUUCAAAUUGUUGGACCUCAAAAUAAGAACUUUCAAUUCCGGAAGUUUUCCCAACCAUGCCGGGAAUGUAUCCUCUAUCCGAUUGAUACUGAGAUCUAAAAUUUCCAGAUUUGUACAAUUGACAAGGGACCGGGGCAACGCCCCUUCAAACCAAUUUCGGCUCAAGUCAAAAGUAGUCAAUCCAUGUAUCAAAGAAAUUGUUUGUGGAAUUGUGCCCUCCAAGUGAUUCAUUCCCAAGUUCAAAACAGAGAGAAUAGUGCUAAAAUUUGUUAAGCACCAAGGCAAGCUACCAAUUAAGUUGUUGUUAGACAAGUCGAUCAUCUCAAGAUUGGUAGCGUUGCAUAUCAGAGAAGGGAUCCUUCCUAUUAUAACAUUAUUUGCAAUGGAGUAAUACAUUGUGACGGGAGACGGAAGUGGAAUUGGCCCUCCGAAUUUGUUGUUGGACAAAUCUAUUACUUGUAAUGAGGUGUUGGAGAAAACCUUCAUGGGGCACCAUCCAAUAAAACUGUUGUUGGAAAUAAAUAAAUCUUUAAGAGCAGGGAAUGAGAGUUCAAAAGCAGUGAGGUUGAUCUUACCAUGAAAUUUGUUGGAAUGCAAAUUAAGGCGAUACAGUCGCGGUGCUUUUAGCCAAUGUGGGAAUGUAUCAUUAAACCCGUUUUGAUUGAGAACUAGUGUUGAUAAGUUCGCCCAUUUGACUAGGGAGUGUGGUAAUGACCCUUGUAAUUUAUCAUUGCUCAAGUAUAGAUUCUCAAGAUUGGUUAUAUUGCCAAAACAAUGGGGUAUAUUUCCUAAAGAGACUAUUGUUAGACAAAUCUAAACUCAAGAGUGAACUCAACUGACAAAUCGAAGAGGGGAUCUCACCAGUGAAACCAUUGCUCUUGGCAUAAAAGUAAUGAGUAGAAGGUGAAGGGAUCGAGGGUGGUCCUUGUAAUUUAUUGUGACUCAAGCCUAGAUAGUCAAGAUUGGUUAUAUUACCAAAACAUGGGGGCACAGUCCCCGAGAGAUUAUUCCAAGAUAAUGCUAGUUUUAGGAGGGAAAUCAACUGACAAAUCGAAGAGGGGAUCUCACCGGUGAAACCAUUGUUCUUGGCAUAAAAGUAACGAGUAGAAGGUGAAGGGAUCGAGAGUGGUCCUUGUAAUUUAUUGCUACUCAAGGCUAGAUAGUCAAGAUUGGUUAUAUUACCAAAACAUGGGGGCACAGUUCCCGAGAGAUUAUUGUGAUGUAAUGUUAGUCGUAGGAGUGAACUCAAUUGACAAAUCGAAGAGGGGAUCUCACCAGUGAAACCAUUUCUCUCGGCAAAAAAGUAACGAGUAGAAGGUGAAGGGAUCGGGAUUGGUCCUUGUAAUUUAUUAUGACUCAAGGCUAGAUAGUCAAGAUUGGUUAUAUUACCAAAACAUGGGGGAAUAGUCCCCAAGAGAUUAUUCGAAGAUAAUUCUAGUUCUAGGAGUGAAAUCAACUGACAAAUUGAAGAGGGGAUCUCACCGGUGAAACCAUUGCUCCCAGCAAAAAAGUAAUGAGUAGAAGGUGAAGGGAUCGGAAGGGGUCCUUGGAGUGAGUUUUCUUGAAAGUUAAUAUACAACAACUGCUUCCAACGUAGUUGGUGUAUAUCUCCCUCCAUAAGGUUAUUAGAAAGAUCUAAAUGUUUCAAUGUAUGUUGGCUUAUUCCCCAAAACCAUCUAGGAAUCUCUCCACUAAUCUUAUUGUGAGAGAGGUUUAAGUAUGUCAAACUUUCUAAUGAAUUCAAGAAAUAGGGCAACUUGGUCAAAUUGCACGUUGACAUGUCCAACACUUGAAGCUUUGGGAGAUGGAGGGAAUUAUUGGAAUAGAGAGUGCCAUGAAUCGGAUGGUAAGCAAGAUAGAGACCGAUGACGUUACCGGUGACAUUGUCGCAAGUGACCUCAUCCCAUGAGCAGCAAUCUACACUCUUGUUCCAUGAUAUGCCCCUUUUAAAUGAGCAGGGGUCUCGUGAAUAAAUGGUACAGGGCGAAUCAAAAUUGUCCGACGCAAUUUUAUCAAGGAGGAAGGAAUUCUUAAAAUUGAGCAAUGCAUCACGCUGGUCAGGAGGGCAAAGAGGGGAGGUGAAGGGAAGAUGGAAAUGAAAGAAAAAGAGGAAACAGAGGAGGCCCAAGAACCGAUGCCACCCCAUUUUGCAAUUUAGCAUGCGAGCAGUGAGUUUAUUGGAAGUGGAGAGCGCUUCCACUUAUAUAGCCUUUGUCAAGUGUGAAGUCACUAAAGUAGGUCUUCUCCAAGGUUCCAUUGGUGGGCUCACAACAUGUGUCACCUGUUUUGAAAGCUCCAUUACUCAGCAUACCAGUAAUUUUCAUGUAAGGUUCAAUUAGAAUGAUAUCUCAUUUUCUCAUGGUUAAGGAAGAUCAAAUUUUCUGUCUAAGUUAGUUUAGUCAUAGGUACACAAGUGUGUAAAAUAAAUAUCUAGGUUAAAAGAAUUUUUCUUUCUAGAUACAUACACUUUAGAUUGUCCGUUAUUUUGUAUCAAUCGUGGCAACGAUAAAUAGAAAGAAACAUUUAUUUGAAUUAGGCCUUGGGACCCUGACCCUUGGGGUCUACACUGUAGGAAAAAGGCUGAUAAAAAAACAAAUAAAUUUGUCUGAGGCAUGCAAACGUAAGCACUGUCCUUAAGGAUAAUUCCGCCCCUCGGAGUGCGAAACUCGGUGCGAUAGGCUUCUGACGGCUAUCCUCCAAAGAUACAAUAGACCUUCUUCUAUAUUCUGCACUGAAUAUUAGAAGAAACAGAAACAACGUCUGUGUAUAACCCAGCAAGAAAAAGGAAAGGAAAGAUUUCACAAAGAAAGAAUAUUCUCUGUUUCAUUCGGUGUGUCUUUUUUAAGAUUGUCUUGUGAGAUUUUAUAUUCAGACAAAAUAGAGCCGUUAAAAGAGCCGUUAUAAAAUAAUGAAGGAUUUAUUUGAGAAAUAAAUUAAACGUUACAAAACGAUUGGAAAGCCGUUGUAUGACCGUUAAGAAACCAUUAUGUGACCGUUUAAAAUAAUAAUGGUCUUCAAUGCAGUCAUAACUAUUAUCGAAGUUAUUAUUGUUAAUAUUUCAAAAUAUUAUUGAAAUAUCCAACAAUCCCCCACAUAUUUCAAAAGAUUUUGAAAAUAAAAUUAAUAUGAUGCUGGGUUAUUAGAGUGUAAUGCAUCGGAACUGGUGCUUAUUAGGCUAUGAACUAGCCCUAGAAAAAAUAAAAUAUAAUUCAUGAAAUUAUUGGUGAAGUUUGAAACUUCUAUGAACCAAAAAUUUCUUUUGUGAAUUAUAAUUUUCAUCAAUCACAUUGCACUCCCACAAACUCUGUUGUUCAACGCGGUUUUGUGCUAAUAGGCCAUGCGAGUGCUUGGUUUAUUCAUAAGUGCUUUAGAGAUUUUCACCAAAAAUUCUCAUAGGAGCGGCCCCACUCCACACUUAUAUAGGUGAUUCCAUCAAGUGUAUUCUGCAGCUUAAUACACCACCAACAAUGGCUAUGAAAUUUCAUUAAGAGCUUAGCUCAACCUUUUUUUUCCUUGCAGUUUUGCACCACUCUCAUCUUAGGAUGGACAAUAAUUUUUAAUAGUGCAUCACUAGAACAACAAGUAACUUGUUAUUAGCCAUAUGAACCUAAUUCAUGGGAUCACCAAUCACAUAGGUUGGGUUACCAUCACUGUUGCUUUUCCUCAAUUGGCUUAAGUCCCAUUCCCCUCGAUGUGUCAUAAAUUAAUUUUCUUCCCACAGGUUUAGUCAGAGGAUCGACCAAAUUCACUUCUGACUUUACAAAAUCAAUGGAUAUAAUUCCAUCUUUAAGCAGCUACUUUACUACAUCAUGUCUCAAUCGGAUGUGUCUAUUUUUACCAUUGAAAGUUUUAUUCUUUGCAAUGGUUAUUGCCGCUUGGCAAUCACAGUGCAUAGACACAGAAGGUGUCGGUUUCAUUCCCAAAGGAAUGUCCGCUAAGAGGUUCCUUAACCACUCAGUCUCAUUGCCAGCCAAUUCUAGAGCCACAAACUCUGACUCCAUGGUGGAUUUAGCAAUUAUUGUUUGUUUGGCUGACUUCCAAGUUACAGCACCUCCACCAAGGGUAAACACAUAUCCAUUAGUGGAUUUUGUCUCAUCUGAGUCUGAAAUCCAAUUAGCAUCACUGUAUCCUUCUAAUACAGCGGGAAAUCCACUAUAUAAAAUACCAUAGUUCAUGGUUCCUCUCAAAUAUUUCAUUAAUCUACUCAAAGCAAUCCAGUAAUCAUCAUUGGGAUUUUGUGUAUAUCUGCUCAGUCUACAUACAGCAUAAGCUAUAUCAGGUCGAGUAUAAUUCAUUAAAUGCAUCAAACUCCUAAUAAUUUGAGCAUACUUAGACUGAGCCACACCAUCUCCUUUAUUUUUCACUAAUUGGAUAUUAGAAUCAUAAGGAGUAUUCACAGGUUUAACAUUAAAGUGAUCAAAUUUUUUAAGUAGCCUCUCCACAUAAUGCGCUUGAGUAAGCAUUAGGCCACUAUCACUCUUUACGAUUCUAACACCCAAAAUAAUAUUAGCUUCCCCCAUGUCCUUCAUAUCAAAUUUAGAAGUCAAAAAACAUUUUGUUUCAUUCACUACAUCAAUACACGUACCAAAAAUAAGCAUGUCAUCAACAUAUAAGUUAAUAAUUAUAAAUUCACCAUCAACAGUUUUUGUAUAUACAUAUUUAUCUACUCCAAUAGAGAAAAAUCCAUUAUUAACUAGAACAUCAUUAAAUUUCUCAUACCAUUGCUUUGGCACUUGCUUUAAGCCGUAUAAAGAUUUAACAAGUUUACAAACUUUAUUUUCUUGACCAGGAAAGAUACAGCCCUCAAGUUGCACCAUGUAAAUUUCCUCUUCCAUAUCACCAUUUAAAAAAGCUGUUUUAACAUCCAUUUGGUGAAUAAUAAGUUUGUAAAUAGAAGCCAAAGCAAUUAAAACACGAAUUGAUGAAAUUCUUGUAACUGGAGCAAAAGUGUCAAAAUAAUCAACAUUUUGUUUUUGAGUAAAACCUUUUGCAACUAAUCUUGCUUUAUAUUUAUCAAUAGAACCAUCAUGAUUAUAUUUUCUUUUAAAAAUCCAUUUACAACCGAUCGGUUUUGCACCGGGUGGUAAAUCAACUAAUUUCCAAGUUUGAUUUUGUAAGAUAGAAUCAAUCUCGAUUUUUAUAGCUUUUUUCCAAAAAUUGCUUUCUGAGGAAGACAUCGCUUCAGAAUAAGUCAAAGGAUCAUUAUCAAUAAGAUAAGUAUAAAAAUCAUUCCCAAAAGAAGUUUCUUUCCUUAUUCUUUUGCUCCUUCUCAAUUCAUCAUUUGAAUUUUCGAGAACAUUUUUAUGAAUAGGCAAAGGAGAAAUAUUAUCAACACUUAAUGGAAAAAUAUGCUCAAAAAAUUCUGCAUUUUUUGUCUCAACUAUAGUAUUAUUAUCAAGCACGUCACUUUUUAAUACAAGAAAUCUAUAUGCAGCACUAUGUUCAGCAUAACCAAUAAACAUGCAGUCAGAUGAUUUAGAGCCUAUUUUCCUUUUCUUAGAAUUAGGAAGCAUAACCUUAGCAAGACACCCCCACACUUUCAAAUAUUUUAAAUUUGGACGAUAACCUUUCCAAAAUUCAUAGGGUGUUUUACCAGUUUUCUUAUGAGGUAUUCUAUUUUGGAUAUGGCAUGCAGAUAAAAUAGCUUCACCCCAUAAAUUAUUUGGAGCAUUAGAACUAACAAGCAUAGAAUUCAUCAUCUCUUUCAAAGUCCUAUUUUUUCUUUCAGCUAUGCCAUUAGAUUCAGGGGAAUAAGGAGGCAUAGUUUCAUGAAUUAUUCCUUCCUUUUCACAAAAUUUAUUAAGCAAUACAUAUUCUCCACCUCUAUCCGAUCUAAUUCUUUUUAUCUUUUUAUUCAAUUGGUUUUCUACUUCAGCUUUAUACAAAAGGAACAUAUCAAAAGCUUCAUCUUUAUGCCUAAGCAAAUAAACUUUAGUAAAUCUAGAAUAAUCAUCAAUGAAGGUCACGUAAUAUUUUUUACCUCCUCUAGUCAUAGUUUGUUUUAAAUCUCCUAGAUCAGUAUGAAUUAAACUCAACAAAUCAGAUUCUCUAUUUACAGAAAUACAAGGCUUUUUUGUUAAUUUUGUUUCGGCACAUAUUAUACAUUUAUUAAAACGUGGGUUUUUAAUUCUAGAAAUUAAACCUUAUUUUUGCAUUUUCUUAAUAUAAGAAAUACUAACAUGACCUAAUCUACCAUGCCAUAAAUCAACAGAUUCAGUCAAGUAAGCGAAAGCAGUAGCAUUUUCAUUGAUAACAUUAGAAACGUUAAGAACAAAAAGUCCUUGAUUACAAUAACCAUUUCCCACAAAGACGUUAUUUUUUGUCAUUACAAUCUUAUCAAAUUCAAAUGACACCUUCACCCCAACCUUUCCCAAAAGCGCUACUGAGACCAGGUUUGCCCUUAUAUUAGGGACAUGUAAUACAUCAUUCAGGGCCAAAGUCUUGCCAGAUGUGAGCUUGAGAAGAACGUUUCCUUUCCCAAGAAAUUGAGUUGUUCUUGAAUCACCAAGAUAAAUAACUUCUUCUCAUUCCCCUACUGGCGUGUAGGAGGAAAAGGCAUUUUUGUUUGCACAAAUAUACCUGGUAGCACCUGAGUCUACCACCCACUCUUUCACAUUGGCCACAAUGUUGGCCUGGGAAAUAACCGCAACAAUUAUAUCAUUAGAGUCAUCUGCUUUAACCAAAUUAACUUUUGGUUUAGCAGGAUUGUCAUUUCCCAUCAUUCUCUUUUUGCAGCGUGCUGCAUGAUGACCUGGUUUUCCACAAACAAAGCAAGAGCCUUUCUUUAUGAAGGUGGGGUGAGCAACUUUGGGUUUGUAAUCAGGUUUUUUGUUAUAAUACCUGUUUUGACGAUGUUGAAAUUUGCCUUGCACCAAAUUUGCCCUGGUCACAAUUUCCUUAGCUUUGGCAGCUUUGAUCUCCUUGCGAGUUGUAUCCUCAAUGAUGAUAUGCACGAUCAGAUCGGCUAGUGACAAUUGCUUGUCCUUGUGCUUGAGUUGUUGCUUGUAGUUAUUCCAAGACUCAGGCAACUUUUCAAUUAGCAGGCCCGCAAGAAAUUCUUCUUGUAAGUUGAUGUUUUCUGCCUUCAAGUCCUCCACUAGCUUGUGAUAUUCAUUGAUUUGUGUCUUGAUCUCCUUAUCAUCGGACAGUUCCCAUCGAUAAUAAUUUCCGAUUACAAAUUUUUGUCUGCCCACAUCUUCGGCAGUGUACUUUGCAGUCAUGAAGUCCCAUAUUUGUUUUGCUUCCUUGUACGGACAGUAGACAUCAAACAAUUCAUUAGAAAGAGUACUAAUAAUUGUGUGCCUACAUACCUUGUUAGCAUGUAUCCAUUGAUCUCGAAGCUUGUUAUCAGUUGGUUUGGCCUCCGUAAGUGCGAAAGCCACGUCGUGCACAUCUAGGAUAGAGAAAACCCUUUCUUGCCACCUUCUGAAAUUGUUGCCGUUGAAAACUUCGAUCUUUUAUAUGUCGGGGAAUGGUUUGGCAUAAGACAUAUGUGGUAGUGAUGGUAGUGCAACUGGACUGGUGGAGAUUGAGGCAUCAACAGCAGUAUCGACUUGAUGCUCCAUGGGUAUUAUCCUUAAGAUUGUAGGAAAAAGGCUGAUAAAAACAAAUAAAUUUGUCUGAGGCGUGCAAACGUAAGCACUGUCCUUAAGGAUAAUUCCGCCCCUCGGAGUGCGAAACUCGGUGCGAUAGGCUUCUGACGGCUAUCCUCCCAAGAUACAACAGACCUUCUUCUAUAUUCCACACUGAAUAUUAGAAGGAACAAAAACAACGUCUAUGUAUAACCCAGCAAGAAAGAGGAAAGGAAAGAUUUCACAAAGAAAGAAUAUUCUCUGUUUCAUUCGGUGUGUCUUUUUUAAGAUUGUCUUGUGAGAUUUUAUAUUCAGACAAAAUAGAGCCGUUAAAAGAGUCAUUGUAAAAUAAUGAAGGAUUUAUUUGAGAAAUAAAUUAAACGUUACAAAACAAAGGAAAGGAAAGAUUUCACAAAGAAAGAAUAUUCUCUGUUUCAUUCGGUGUGUCUUUUUUAAGAUUGUCUUGUGAGAUUUUAUAUUCAGACAAAAUAGAGCCGUUAAAAGAGUCAUUGUAAAAUAAUGAAGGAUUUAUUUGAGAAAUAAAUUAAACGUUACAAAACGAUUGGAAAGCCGUUGUAUGACCGUUAAGAAACCGUUAUGUGACCGUUUAAAAUAAUAAUGGUCUUCAAUGCGGUCAUAACUAUUAUCGAAGUUAUUAUUGUUAAUAUUUCAAAAUAUUAUUGAAAUAUCCAACAUACACUACAUCCUAAAGCACAACAAUGACUUAACAACAAACAUAAUAAGGCAUAGAAAGAAAGAAGAGUACUUAUUUAUUAAUUUUUUAUGAGGCGAAGUGAUUGUUUUAUUAGUUAUAGUUUAGUAAUUUUACCAAAGUGACAUUAACUUUUCCGGUAAUCUAAUAAGUAGCGGUCAUAGACCAUAGUCGGGUAACUGGGUUAUAAAUUCUCCAUAUUUGAGCUUUACAUUGUAGAAACGUCCCUCCUAUUUACGACGUUCCUUAAUCAGUCCCACUUCGGGGCCUCAAAAACGGGUACCGCACUUGUUUGUGGAUUUUAACUUGGAAGGGUUUUCUUCCCAGCAUCAAUCGGCGCUGCAUUUUCUCGAUCUCAAUAUUCCAUGAAAUGAAUAAAAAUUGCUUUAAAUUAUUGAAGCGUCUAUAGGCGACCUAACAAUCCUCUAUAACUAAAUUGCUGUAAUUAUCACUACUAGAAAAACUGCCUAAGGCGACAAAAAAUUUUACGACAAAAAUAAUUUGGUCGCCUUGGGGGCACCAAAGGAGAUGGAAUUCGAUUUUUUGCCGUACGUAUGCCAAAGGCGACAAAAACUGGUUUGUAUCGACUUAGGUUGAGUUAGGCGAUGGUUGACUGCAACGAAAAAGAACCUUUGUCGCCUUAUUUUCGAGUUGCUAACUCAACCUUUCAGAUUUUUAAAUAUAAUUUUCAAAUCAGAAUUACAAGAUUUAACAAGUCACAAAAAGAAACACAAUUUAAACUGAGUUGUUCUACUUAAGAAGAAAAGCUUAUUAAUUGACAACCCAUAACAACGGGAAAGCCUCAGUAAUACCGUCAGACAAAAGACGAAAUAAAUCUAAAAAAUUAUUCGAUGCUUCUUUCCAAAACAAUUCCUAUGUAUAUUCGGAUGGCGUUAAAUAAGUCCUAAUUGAUUGAUGUUACCGAGAGACUUUGAAAUAUAGUGGCGUAGUCCACUUCACAUCGGUGGGCUGAUAUUGGUAGAAUUCAAUGUUUUUCGGUCGAGGACAGUGGCUCUAGGACAGCGGUGCACUUAAAUUCUAAUGUAAAUAAGUCAAAGUCUCCUUGAGAUGACAUAACUGGAGUCACAAAUUUGAUUCUCUUGGUGAAUUUACUUGGGUGUGGAAAAUUCUUACUUGCUUGGCUCUGUAUAUACAUGAUAUGAAAGUCUUCUCCGCCUUUCUUGAAAAGUUUAUUAGUCAGAUGGCAUUUUUCAUUUCAAAAGAUAUGUAUGACUCUUGUCAUCAUUAUCUGGUAAAUAAAUUUAGAAAAUUCAUUAUAAAAAGGGUAGUCAUUUAUGAAUAUUUUCCUUUAAGAUAACUUUGAAUUUUUAGAUAUUUUGAAUCUCCAACAUCCUUUCUUGUUUCAUAUUGUGCUUGUUAAACAAUUAAGGGCUACAAUAAUAACUUUCAACUUUUAGAGAAUUGCCUCACAACUUUAAGAUGCCGUGACCUUAAAGUAUACAUUACCAUAUACACAAAUCACAACACUUUACAUCAUUACUACAACUAUAUCAAAUAUAUUUUGCUUUUUAUUAGUUUGAUUCAAAGUUAAAGUGAUCAUUGUGUACUAUUGAAUAUAGACAACAUAAAUUCACUUGAUUAAAAAAAAGAAAAUUCACAGAGAUUAGGAUUGACAGUCAUGGAAUCGCCCCAAGCUAUAAUGUCGGAAUCUUUACCGUCAUUUCUGGGAACUUUCUUCCUCCUACCAUAGAGUCUAGACUUAGCUUCAAUUUCGGGACGGAAUCAAAAGACCUGCAUAAAGUCCUUGUGGAAAGGUCUGCAUAAUUGCUCGGUUGGAUGAGGAUUUGACGCCACCCCACCUUCCACGGCAGAAGGAUGCAUGAUUGAAGGGGAUUUUGCAAGAAUUGCAGGCUUGGGAUAUCUCUGCAUCUGGCAAGCCGCCCAUCAGCCGCAGAGACUAGAAGACGACAAACGUCUAGUUAAAUAAAAAUAGGGAAGCCCCAAAUAUCUGAUUUUGGCAUAAUUGAAGGCAUGUUUGGCAAUUUAAUCGGCAUCCUACUUUUCUUUUUUAAUUAAUGUUUGCCGUGCGAAAUCAAUUUUGUUGGACUCGGUGGAACGUGAAAACCAAGAAUCAAAUCAUCAUCAAUUUUCUCAUGCGAAUUGACUCUUGAUGACCCACGCUUCCAUAUUCUAAGUCAGAAACUCUGUCUUUACAUGGCAAAAGUAUCGUAAAACACACUUCAUUCUAUGGGACAACGUCCUAAUUACGGGGAAUAGAAAGUGGCUUCACAAAAAAUUAGAAUGCGCUCAGGUCGUCCACGUACUGCUUUUUAUUUCAUCCAUCCAACUUGCAAAGUCAAGUCUCCUCCGUUUUUCUUAAGCCAAAAGUCGGGGCAAGCCUCCAUGCAUUGUUCUUCACGGUUGUCGUAGGGCUUCGCCAGUAGCACAAAGAUCGACGAGGGUUGCCCCUGACCCUCGUCAACCACAAUGAGAAAAAGAGAAGAGAAAAAUCACAAUAAAAAUUUAUAAAAAAGAAAAUUACAAAAAUUGUUCAUGUUAGCAGCGACAGCCGAUUGUGCCACGUAGAACGGCUAGCAUACACAUUAACAAUUUCCAGCCAAAAGGACUUGAUUGGCAAAUUGUUAAAAGGUUUAUUUGCCAAAUUGAAAGGUCUCAAACUAAAUUUACACAAAUGCAAUAGGAUUAUUAUUGUUUUGAUAAUUUUCCCCAUCACUCCUUUUGUACAAAUAUAUUAUGGGGUAAUCGACAACCGGCGAGCAAACCCUGGGGGAGUGACUGCAGGACCUACCACCAGAGUACUCCAAAAUAAGAAUCCCUAACGAUGCCUCUGGGAUUCGAACUUCUCCCCUUCAUGAGGGGGAAAGAGUCCAAGCCAGCUGCGUCGCUGCGGGCAAUAAUUAGAUCUUUGUGUGUUUGUGUUUGUAUACACGACUAUUUACAUAUAAUGUCUAGUGUACUUGUUCCGUCUUUACAGGAUGCAAUCGGGAUAGACCUAGGGCAUAUCUAAGAUAGUCGAGUACCUCGUGUGCCAAUUGGUAUAAUUUUGUAGGCCGCAUUCGCUCGCGACCUUCCCAGGUGAAUAAGGGUUAACUUCAGUGCAUAUGUACUUGUAUAGGAUUCAACUGCAUCUGUACUGGCUGGCACCAGCAUGCAAACUACCCAGGUAGAUCCGAAUGCAAAAGCAUCAACCGAAUUUUACAUAUUCAGAUGAUCGUUAAAAUAACCGUUUAUAAGAACAGUGCUUAACCUCCCUUUUUAUUUCUUUUUUCUGUCAGACUAUUUGCAUUAUUUCGCUCCUUCUAUAACUCUCCGGAACUGAUAAAAUUAGAAGGCAAUGGAAAGGUAAAGGAAAAUAAAUAAAGUUUAGCGGCAUAACUACUCUCUUUUGAGCCAUUGCGCAGGACUGAACCCGGCACCUAAUUAAAAUAAGCACCCCAUCAUCCCCAGCAUCUCGUACAGUUGUCAAAGUCAUCAUGUAACCCAUUAAAUUGGGAGUUUCUCCUAAGAAGCCUGUGUACAUUGUAAGAGAGAUCGAGGGACAAAAAGCUUGGAGAGGCGAGAGAUUUCACUAGGAACAAUACCCGAGAGAUUUCACUAGGAACAAUACCCAAAAGGUGUGAAUGAGAGAGAUUCGUAUGAGUCAUUUUUGCAAAAAAAAACUCAAGUUAGUCCAAAUGUGUGGCCAGAAAAGUUAAUAAGGGAAAAAUUUGAGGCUUUGAAGAUGGCAAAAGAGAAGAAGGGAGCUAUUAGAGUGGAGAGAGCCACGAAGCCAAUUCCAAGUAAGAUCAAGACCGAUAAAGUUACUGGUUACACCAUCGCAUACGACAUGGUCCCUCGAGCAGUGAUCUACGUGCUUGUUCCAUGAGUUUUGUCUUUGGAUAAGAUGUGACCCAACAGUCUCCGCCCUUGUUCCACGAGCAGCAAGCCGUGUCGUGCUUCAACCUACUUCUCCUGUGAUUGCGGCAUGGAUUAGUCAAUUUGAAGAGUGAGUGAAUUGGAAAAACUGCAGUAACCCAUUACUCUGCACAGGAUGUAAUUGUUUUUACUGAGAUUGGGAGGACAGCAAAAUGUAAACAUAGAACAACGAGAAAACAAAGAAUUUGCUAUAAUCCCUUGCCUAUUUUCAGGACACCAAAGCUCGUUGGCUCUAGGAGAACGUUUCGCUUAUGUUAUAGAAUCCAUAGUCUUCUUAUUAUUGGAGUAAUAGAUUAGACUAGAUUGGGAAUUUUUGAGGUACCAAUUUCAUGGCCAUGUAAGACGGUUAGCAUAUAUGUUGGCAAUUUGCGAUGAAUUGAAUUUGCAUAAAUGUAAAAUGUUUAAGACUCAAUUUGUACAAUUACAAUAAAUUUAAGAUUUUUUUUUUUUUUUUUUUGCUAAAGUGAGACAAGGUUUGGUAGGAUUCCAUGUUUUCGGGUUGACCACAAUGGCUUUAGGACAACUUAGCACUUCAUUAUGAAGACUAAGAAGUCAAAGUCUUCUGGAUAUGACAAUCACAAACUUAAUUUUCUCGAUUGUCUUGGUGGUUUUACUUGGGUGUGAAAAAUGCAUCUAGGGUCAUAGAAGUUUCUUCUUGGCUAAAUGCAUAAAAGACUAUGAAGGAGUCUUUAGGGCAUCCGUUAUAAAUGGGCAUUGACAAAUUGGCGUAUAAGUUGGAUUUUUUUGGUUUUUUUCUUGCAUAUCAUGUCAAGUGUGGAAUAGAAUUGUUCUACAUCCACACGAUGUGCAAAUUUUGUCCACUUUUCUUAAAAGGCAUACUAGUCAAGUCUAUAGUAAAAUUUUCAUUUCAAAGAUAUGGACGACUUUUUGGGUCAAUCAUUAUGAAAAAGGCAGUCAUUUAUGAAAUUUUUCUAAUAAGAUAACUUUUAAUUUGCAAAUACAUUUAAUUUCUAAUAUCUUUAAAUUUGAGAAAGUGCUUUUACAGUUACAAUAGCUUAUAAUAACUUUUAGAAAGUUUCCUCACGCUGAUUUUAAAAGUUGUAAUUCUAAAAUACAUAUUACCAAAUACGCUAAUUGCAAUACUUUACACAACAUAUACAGCAUAGCACAAUUGCAACGAUACUAAACAUGCUUCAGUUUUUAAUAGUUCAAUCCAAAGCUGUGACCAUCAGAUACCGCUAAAUAUACCCAACAUCGAUUCAAUUGAUCGCUAAGUUACUAGUAUGCUUAAUUGUCAAGUAAAUUCCACUUAUGCAUCCACUAGUAUUUGGCAAAUGAAUGUUAAACGUUAAAUUUGCAACGUGAAAGAAUUCAGUGGAGGAUGUACAGACAUAACUUAGGGAGGCGAAAUACAGCAAACUCCAAAUCUAACUCCGAGGGUGAAAUAUCGAUUUGAUCAAAGUCGGGCUAGAGCCAAACGGUCCAAAGGGGCGGCGGUCUCCGUCCCCGUCAACCCAAGCACACAAUCAAGAUCAACAAUCACCAGUCUUCUUUGAAAGGUCUGUCAGUGGGGCUUGCAUACACUUCCGUUUUAACUUCUUCUCCGAUAAAGAUGGCUUCAACUUGCCUUGCGGAUUGGGAGUUGAGUCAAGAUCCGUCUUUUUCUUAAGAGUCCUUCGAUAUUGGUUUACCACCAGUACCAGACAAAGGAAGCAACUUUCUUCGCCUUGAAUUGAGCAUCCCCUUAGUUUUAAGCCAGUCAUGUAUUGGUAAUCAUAAUUUAACAUGUACCUAUUUUUUUCAUACUAUUAGUAGCUGUAAUUUUUACAAGUAUUUAACUUGGGUCGUUGGCCAUUAAAUGUAGAAAAUACCAAUAAGAACACUUGUCGAGCUGGACAUCCAAAACACAGCCGGACAAUUUCUUUAAAAAAAAUUGUUAAAAAAUGUAAAAAAACAAAAACAACAAAAUUAAAUUGCUUACUUUACCAAAAGAAAAACAAAAAAAAAUUAAAGAGACAACAAGGUGACUAUGGUCUUUCAUUUUAUUUUAUUUAAAAACAAUUUCUUAAUUAUUUUUUCUGUUUCUUUUCUUUUCUUUCUUUUCUUUUUUCUUUUUCUUCGCAUGGUCACUAGCUACGACGAUUGACCAUUGGUGAGCUCGAGCCAUGCUGUAGUACUAUAUAUGCUUUUGUUGUGCUUUGUACUUUUUCCACAUUUACCAUAAAUAAUGUAGCUUGUGCUCAUCAAAUUGGUUUGGAGGAGUUCAUGAAAUUUUCACAAGCAAGAUAUGAUGAAGCUAUUUUUAUUCACCAGUGAUCAACAUUGUGAUGUGAAUCUGUCCAAUUCGAUGUAAUUGGUCAUCCACGUGAUUUCCAGCGCAAGCAAAGGACAGAGUUUCUUUCAAACAUUUAUACAAAGUCUCCAACGCAAUUUCUUUUCCACGUUCCCAUUGAUCUCACAUGGCUUUUUCCACAAUCGAUGCAUUGAAUGAUUGUGUCGUGAAAGUUCGUGGAAAUAAAAUAGCUCAAUUAGAUAUAAACUCGCAGCGCAAGAUUCACCGUGGUCAACAUUGCUCCGUGCAAUCGAGAAAAAGUGUCUCCCAGGGCGAGCCCCUUUCUUACUUCGCUGUUCGUCAUCUUUUUUCUUUUUUGGAGUUCACGACACGGCUUGAAGGAAUUCUUCUGCGCGGCCAACAAAAGGUACUCCCACCCUGACAGAAUGCGUAAAGGAAGCAAGAUGCAAGAGACGAAGGAUUGAGAGAAGUUUUUUCUAUUCCUUCAAUUGUAUUGAUUCGAUAUACAAUGUUUUGUAAUUAUAAUACAGAGUGUACAUGAAGAAAGGAAAUAAAAAAUUCUAUAAAUCAAAUCUACAAUUCUGUCCAAUAAUAAUUGAUCUAAUUAGAUCAAUUAAGAUCAAAAUCUGGCGGAUGAUCAAUUUAGAUCAAAUCCGGCUGAUCUUCAGGCAUAUCUUCCAACACUCCCCCUCAAGUUGGUGGCUUGUAGAUAUCUAAGACGCCUAGCUUGCUUAGUAGAUAUGCAUGCUGUCAACAUUAUUUUGGUAAAAAUGUCCGCCGGUUGUUCAACAGUUCCAAUCCCUCUUGUCUCGAUUAUCCCUUCCUAGAUUUUCUCUCGAGUGAAGUGACAAUCUACUUCUAUAUGCUUGGUUCUUUCAUGCAUUAUGGGAUUGGCUGCAAGUUUCAGUGCCGACUCGUUGUCACAGUACAGUUUUGUCGACCCUUUAACUUGUAUUCCAAGAUCUCCAAGUAAACCUCGUAUCCACACAAUCUCACAUGUGGUUUUUGCCAUGGCUCAAUAUUCUACUUCAGCUGAAGAUAAAGAAACCAUUGCCUGCUUCUUGGUUUUCCAUGAAAGAAGUGAUUCUCCUAGUUUAAUGCAAAAACCAGAGACAGAUCUUCGACUCAUAGGGCAAGUCGCAUAAUCUGCAUCAUAAUAUGCUGUCAUUUCCAUGUUGCAUUUUCUAGACAAAAGUAUUCCCAGUCCUGGACACUUCUUCAAAUACUUUACAACCUUCAAGGCAGCAUUCAUGUGAGAUUCCUUCGGUUUGUGCAUAAAUUGGCUGAGAUUUUGUACUGCAUACGAUAUAUCAGGCCUAGUCAUAGUCAGGUAUAUGAGUUUUCCAAUGAGUUUCUGAUAACUUGUUGGAUCUUUAAGAAUAGGAUCAUCCCGAGAUGUUUCCUUGUCAUGAUCCGCUGCAAUUAAUCUAGUAUUUUGCUCGAUUGAAAUAACUGCUGGUUUGCAUCCUGAUAAACCUGUUUCUGAUAUAAUUUCUAAUACAAACUUCCUCUGACUGAGAGAAAUUCCUUGGUGAGAUCUGGCAAUCUCAAUUCCAAUAAAGUAUUUUGGUGCUCCCAGAUCUUUUAUAUGGAAUGUGGUAUGCAAAUAUUUCUUAAGAUUCUCUAUCGCAGCUUCAUCAUUUCCCAUAAUAAGAAUGUCAUCUACAUAUAUCAUUAAGUAAAUAGAUGACGUACCUUUAGUCCAUGUGAACAAGGCAUAAUCAUAUUUGGAUUGUUUGAAGUCCGCAGUGAUGAGAGCCUUAGCAAAUUUUGCAUACCAUUGCCUAGAAGCUUGCUUUAGUCCAUAAAGGGAUUUGCGGAGACAACAUACCUUAUUCUCCCCCUGUCUCCGUAAGCCCUGAGGAAUAUCCAUAUAAAUUUCUUCAUCCAAGUCGCCAUGGAGAAAAGCAUUGUGGACAUCCAUUUGGUGUAAGGACCACUCAUGAAUGGCUGCAACUGAUACGAAAGAUCUAACAGUGACAUCUUUAGCAAUUGGGGAGAAGGUUUCAUGAUAAUCAAAACCUUCUCGCUGAGUAUAACCCUUGGCCACUAACCGAGCUUUGUAACGCUCAAUGGAUCCAUCAGCUCUAUACUUGAUCUUAUAAACCCAUUUGCAGCCUAUAGACUUUCUAUUAGGAGGAAGGUGGACCAGUUCCCAAGUUUGAUUAUCAUUCAAUGCCUGUAAUUCUGCUGCCAUAGCCUGUUGCCAUCGGGGAUCUCUAGAAGCAUCAUUAUAACUAGAUGGUUCCCUUUCAUCAGAAAUUCGACUAAUGCUACAUCGGUGUUCAGACGAGAGUCUAUCAAACGAGACAUAUGAGGAGAUUGGGUAGUGAAUACCUGGCGAAUUGAGAGAGGCACAGAUAUAAUCCUUGGUCCAGGUCGGUGGUCGGGUGGCUCGUCCCGUACGACGUGGAGGAUGCUCUGGAGGUGAAGGAGAUGGUUCUCCUAUGGCCGUGUCUGUCGAAACCUCAGAAGGAUGGUCCGCAUUAGACAGAGUUCUAGGCAUACCUUCCAUCUCUUCCUCAUGAUCUGUUGGAUGAGGUGAAUGAGAUGAUGGGUUUAGAGGAAUUGCUUGAGUCGGGGGGAUAACUGGAGCUGGAGAUCCUGUGAGAAAAUAUUCAGGGAAAACAUCUUCCUGAUGGGAAGAUCUACGAGAAUUAUCUAAAACUAUUAAAUUUUCCUUAUUUUCCUGGAAUGGGAAAAUAUCUUCAUGGAAAAUAACAUCUCUGCUCACAAAAAAAUCCCCUGUGGAUGGGUCAAGAACACGAUAGCCUUUCUGUAGAUUGGGGUAACCCAUAAAUAUGCAUCGUCUGGCAUGAGGACUCAUUUUGUCUCGAGGUCCCACAGUUGCAGUAAAGCAUAAACAACCGAAAAACUCUUAAAUGAUCAAGUGCUGGUUUUUUUCCAUAUAAUAAGUCAAAAGGUGAUUUACCAACCAGUAUUCGAGUUGGCAUCCGGUUGAUAAGAUAUGCUGCAAUGAGGAUACAAUCGCCCCAAUAAAUAUCUGGAAUGGAUCCCUAAAACUUCAGUGCUCUGGCAACCUCUAAUAGAUGACGAUGCUUACGUUCUACAACUCCAUUUUGUUGUGGAGUGUAAACGCAGGAACUUUCAUGGAGAAUCCGGUGAGAUAUAAAAAGUGAGCUGCAUUCAUGGUUAAAAAAUUCCUUCCCAUUAUCAGUGUGAAUCCGUCUGAUUGUCUUUCCAAACUGAUUUUUGGCCAGAAUGAUAAAGGAUUUCAGAUUAGCAUACACUUGAGCUUUGGACUGCAUUAGAAAUAUCCAGGUAGCACGAGAAUGAUCAUCCACAAUAGUAAGAAAAAAACGCGAACCAUCACGAUGUGCUGUGUGAUAAGGUCCCCAAACAUCGACAUGAAGUAGUGAAAAGAUAGUAGUGGAGUGACUCUUACUAGUGGGAAAUGGAGUGCGAGAUUGUUUUGCCAUUGGACAUAUAUGACAUUUAGAAUAGGGAAAAAAAACACUAUGACCCAUUCUUGAAUGUAAAAGGAAGCUCUUAUCAUCGGUAGUAGCAUUACACAAUGAUAUUUUAUUCAAGACAAUUGAUGAAAAAUCAAAUUAAUUUGGAAGGUCAUUCCAAAAAAAUAACCCUUCUGAGAGAUUACCCAAGCCCAUCAGUUUGCCAGUCGAAAGGGCCUGGAAAAAACAAGCAUCAGAAUCAAAGAAGACUCGACAGGAAUUUUCCUUGCAGACUUUGGACACUGAGAUAAGAUUGAAUUGAAAUUCAGGAACAUAGAGGACAUUUUGAAGAGUAAUUUGAGGACUUGAUCGAACAGUGCCUGUCAAGGUGACAUUAGUGAUGUUGCCAUUUGGCAAUUGCAUAGAAAUAGGAAUAUUCAGCUCCUUAUGUAUAUUAGAAAAAUAACUUUUAUCACAAAUAAUGUGAUCACUUGCUCCUGAGUCCACUAUCCAGGCUUUCCUUGAAAUAGAAUUUAUCAGGCAAUGAGAUAUACCUGAAAAGUUGCCUCCUUUACUUGUGAUGUCUGCCUUUUGUAGAGCCUGCAUUAAUUGCUCAUAUUGUCCAUAGGAAAUUGGCCGAUCAUUACUGAGUCUAGUAACUUGGUAAGCUGCAUAAUAUUCUUUCUUUCUUUCUUUUUCUUUUGGCUUUCCAUGCAAUUUCCAGCAAUUAUCUAUAGUAUGAUGCGGGCGUUUGCAAUAUUCGCGAUAUAGUUUACCUCUCCCUUUCGAAUUUUGGCCAAAAUUCCUUGAAGAUGCGGAAAAAAUCUGACCGUCUGACGCUGAAAAGAUCCGGCCGUUCGAUGCUGAAAAAAACUGGCCGUUCGAUUCUCUUUUCGCAGGAUUAUAUGCGCCGUUGGAUUCUGUGAAGAGAUCAGCCUCCUGGACACCGUCGGAUCUGCGAGAUAAAUCUGGACCGUUGGUGCCUCCCUUUUUAAUCAUCUUCUCACCCCUCCCGUGAAACCCUAGGGUUUCUUGAUUCUCUCUUUCUCGCGUUAGGGUUUUGAAACCCGAUCGCUCGCCGCGAAGUGCAAGUGCGACACUGUCGCUUCCUCCCUUGUGCUCCGGCGCCGCGAGUCGCUGGUUUUCUUCCUGGACAGCGAGUUGAAAGAUCCUUCCGAGAGGAGGGACAGGAUCCAUCGCCAGGAUCUGCGAUCGGAACGUCAGGUAAUUUUCGUUUAAGAUCAAAAGGAAACGAGUGAUUUUCUCCCUCUCCUUUAUAGAUCUAUAUUGUUCGAGGGUCUCUGCCGGUCCCUUGAGUUUUUCUUCUGUGGCUUCGAGCUCGUUCCAAAGCGACGAUAGCUUGUUGUAACAAGCUGUGACCGUCAGAUUUCCCUGCUUGAAUUCACUGAGUUCCUGCAUGAGUAAACAAAUUUUUGCUUGAUCUAAUUUUCUGUACAUUUCUUUGAUAUUCUCCCACAUUUUCUUCGAAUCUUCUGUUGGUGGGAGGCCAGCAGCGACAUCUGGAGAGAUGCAAUUGCCAAUCCAUGAUCGGAUUAGGUGGUUGCAUUUCCUCCCGUGUCGGGCCAGUCGCUCAUCCGAAGGAAUAGGUAUGGUUCCGUCGAGGAAUCUGUCCUUGUCCUUUGUCACGAGGGCUCGCCGGAAAUCCUGUGAUCAUCUGGAAUAAGUUUCUGGUCCAGUCAGUUGCAAGGUGAUUAAUCGCAGUUCUGGACCGUCAGCUGUUGAUACGUAGAGAGGAUCUCCAGAUUCUGGUUGGCCGGUGACUACCGCGAUCGGAAAAGGAAGAAAAUUGGGCGAGAAACUCGGGUAGGGAUUCGUCCUUGAGCCCGACCCGCCAGAUCCGAUUCCAUGACCCGCAUGCGAGAAAUUUGGGUAGGGAUUCGUCCCUAGUCCCGACCCGCCUAGGGUUGAUCGGUUCCCGGUUCAGUCUGGUUCCACCUUGGAACCGAGAACCGAACCGGGAGCACCGGUUCCCAAAAUAUUGAACUGUGGACCGGACCGGACCAUCGGUUCCGGUCCAGUCCGGUCCGGUCCAAAAAAAUCAACUAUACUUUUUUGCACUAAAGAACUAAAGAGUGACCGCGCUCUUGACCGAUCAAUUCAAUUCGAUUCUCGGGCAAUUCAACAAAACUAAUCACACGUGUUCCACGUGCAAAGUGUUCAAACUUCACUUGUGUGAUUCACAGGAUCUCUUGAAGUCUUAGUCCCAUAUCGAAACUAUCAAGGAGAUUUUUUCUAUAAAUAAAAGAGUAAUAAAAAGGAUUUUAAUGGUCUCUUGGCCACAUAAGAGGUUGCUACCUCAAAUUGCAAUUUUGGUUGCAAUAAGUUAUCAUGUUUAUAUGUUUUAUUAAUUCUAUGUAUAUAAAUUAUAUAUAAAAAAGUUUGGUUCGGUCCAAUCGGUCCGGUUCGGUCCGGUUCCCACCUUGAAACGGGGAACCGGACCGACCGGCCACUAGUUCCAAGAUAAGGAACCGGGGACCGGACCGCCGACCAUGGGAACCGCCCAAAACUGACCGGUUCGGUCCGAUCCAACUGGUUCCCGGUUCGGGCGGUUCCCGUUGCACACCGGGUCACCCGCCAGAUCCGAUUCCAUGACCCGUAUGUGAGAAAUUCGGGUAGGGAUUCGAUCCCAGACCUGCUUCGUCCGACCCACCAACUUGUUCUGUUCCGGCGGUUUGGUUUGCCCCAUUCGUGGCUGGUGGACCUCCGUCGGACUGAACGCUACUUUGGUAGCCUGUAAUCCCCGGCGAUGAUGCAUUUGGUCCAACGUACCAUGGAUACGGUACCCAUUGGUAAGGAUGGCCCGCAGUGGGCAACCCCAUAUUUGACUGAGUCGGGAAGAAUGGCCAUUGCACGCCUUGAGUCUGAGGUUGCUGUUGAGUUGUGGGAAUCGGCACGAGAUGGCUUUGUGCCUCUGAGAUUUGUGGCGUAGUUUCUUCUGUGGAUGAAACAUCAAGGGCUGAGGAUGAAUUUGCUAGGUGAGCCAUGUUAAUUGUUUGUGCUUGCUUCUUUUUCCUUUUAGCGAAAAAUGAUUCCUUCAUAAAUCUCUUUUGCAGAUCAGAGAGUUCGAAGAACAACUGGUGCGGAAGCGGGUUCAGAAGCUUGAAGGCUCUAAUACCAUGACAGAAUGCGUAAAGGAAGCAAGAUACAAGAGACGAAGGAUUGAGAGAAGUUUUUUCUAUUCCUUCAAUUGUAUUGAUUCGAUAUACAAUGUUCUGUAAUUAUAAUACAGAGUGUACAUGAAGAAAGGAAAUAAAAAAUUCUAUAAAUCAAAUCUACAAUUCUGUCCAAUAAUAAUUGAUCUGAUUAGAUCAAUUAAGAUCAAAACCUGGCAGAUGAUCAAUUUAGAUCAAAUCCGGCUGAUCUUCAGGCAUAUCUUCCAACACACCCCAACAGGAUUCAUGCGUUCUCCUGAAAAAAACUCCCAACAGGAACCCCUUUCUUACUUCGCUGUUCGUCAUUUUUUCUUUUUUUGGAGUUCACGACAUGGCUUUUUCUCGUUCUUUUGCAGAAGUCAACAAAUCCACUUUUGACCGGAACCCACCGAAUAUUCAAGCUCUUUUUUCUUGCGUCGCUUUCAGACGUCCACCGCACGCCUUCUCGAAGAUAUUAGAUAAGAGUUUUGCUAAUAUAACUGUUUUUGCAUAACUGCUAGAGUAACGGAUGAGGAAUGGACCUGUUAAUAAUUUCAAAUUAUUUCUUAUCUUUUUUUUUUUAUGAUCUAGAGCAGAAUGUUUUUAUCACGGUGAAUUAAGGACAGUCAUUUAGGGCGCGUUUGGUUGUGUUUCUAUUUAAAAAUUAUUCCAGGGAACAGAAAUAGAAAAAAGCGUUUCUAUUCCGAGGAACAAUUUUUGAACAAAACAACGCGUUUGGUAAAUUUGUUCUGGGAAUAAAAAAAUAAACAGAAACAUGUUUGGUAAAUUUGGAUAAUUUUUUUUAUUUCUUUUAUUUUUUCUAUUUUUUCUUAUUUUUCCUUUUUUUCUUUUUUUCUUUUUCAUUUUUUUUCUUCUUUUGGCCGGUCGCCGGCCAAGGCCUUGGCCGGCGACCGGCCGGCGAGGCCGAGCUCGCCCAGCGGUGGCCCAGGCGCGGCCUCGCCGGGCCACCGCCAGGCGACGCCGACUCGCCCAGAUCCGGCGAGGCCGAGGCUCGCCGGCCGCUCGGCGAGCCUUGGCCUCGCCGAACCUAGGCGAGAUCGAGCUCGCCCAGGCCCGCGCGAGGUCGGCCUCGCCUUGAUCCGGCGAGGCCGAGCUCGCCCAGCGGCGGGCGAGGCGCGGCCUCGCCGAGCCACCGCCAGGCGAGGCCGAGGCUCGCCGGCCGCUGGGCGAGGUUGGCCUCGCCGGAUCUGGGCGAGAUCGAGGUCGCCCAGGUCGGCGCGAGGUCGGCCUCGCCCAGCUACGGCGAGCCUCGCCGUGGCUGGGCGAGGCCGCCGGCCAAAAGAAAAAAGAACAAGAAAAUAAGAGAAAAAAGAAAAAAAAUAAGUGUUUCUCAAAAGUGUUUCAGAAACAAGAAACACAAAAUUUGUGUUUCUUGUUUCAGUUUCUUUUUUGUUCCUGGGAACAAAAGAACAAAAAGGGAAUGUUCCUUUUUUGUUCCCAGGAACAAAAAAACAGAAAAAGUGUUUAAAAACAAAAAAAAGAAACACAAAUAAACGGGGCCUUAAUCAUUUCUCAUAUGAUAAAAUCAAUCAACUGAGAAACAAACCCGUAGUCAUAGCAAAUAUACUAUGUUCCCUCCUAACAGAAUCCAAACUUGAGUCGGAUUAAUGGGCGCAUCGGAUUUGAACAAAUCGAGAGGUUUGGAUUUCAUACACUUGCUAAAACUCGAGACAUAAUAUUACAAUUUUUGUUUGCAAUCAAAAAAGUGUUUUGUUUUUGCCCUCUGUAUUAUCCCACCAAAGUGGGUGAUCGACCAAUAUUCAAGCAAAUCUUCAAUCCAUCAUCAAAUUUAACUUAGAAUAACAUUAAGAGCUGCCACGGAGACAACCAAGUUGGAUAAUGAAAAAAAAAAAUAAAACAGAUGACAAAGGUCUCAUAUUUUUUUAAAACCUGAUUAUAGUAUCUUUUUAUCAUGAUAAGAUCAGUGCCAACUCCAAAAUCCAACUCCACAUUUUGGAGUUGGCCAUCUCGAUCUCAUCCCAAUAUAUUCACCACCAACAAACAAUGGUCAUAUAUCUUUGUCCGUGUGUAGAAUGUCUAGUGUAGUUGUUCCGUGCUAAGGCGAUGUAAUCAGAAUGGAUGCAAUGCUGACGGCAUGAGAGAGGAUACAGUAAGGACAUAUUUUAUGUAGUUGAUUACAAUGUAUAUAGAUUGGUAUUCAUUUUAUACGCCCUAUUACUUCACGACCUUUUCAAGGGAAAAAAAAUGUGUUGGUUUAAUUUCAGCACUGGUGUAUUUACACCAUAUUCAAGUACAAAUGUUCCGCCAAGAGCAUGAAUUUCAACACAGGUGUAUUUAAACCGAGUUUUGCACAUACCUACAAAUGAGUGUCAAAAUAAGCACUCACGAUAAGAGAGCUUAACCUCCCCUUUUUUUUUAUCAGAUGAUUUGCAAUAUUUUGUUCUUCUUACAACUCCCCAGAUUUGAUAAAAUUAGCUGGCAUUGAAAAGGCAAAGACAUUUUUAGUUUCACUCAUUUUAUAACCGUUCUACUUUUAGCUAUAAGGGACUUCCUAAAUCUAGCACCCCAUCAUCCACCGGGUAUUCGGUUCAUAUACUACUCAGAAUUACGAAAUGAUUUAACCAGAACCAAAGGAAGAAAACACAAUGUUACAAUGUAGAUUACCAUGGGAGGUGAGUAUCAAUUGGGUGAUCAUAUAUUGCUACUAGGUAAUUGCCUCGCAAGAUUACCCAGGAAAUGGAUAAUGGACUUAUGAGCCCUUUGCAACACCACACUAGCUUCUCUCUCGUUUUCGUUAGCAGCAGCUGGCUGUUCUUGAGUUGAAUGUACACUCCUCACAAGCUUUUGCAGCUCCUAUUGGAAGUACAACGUAGGAAAAUAUUCACCAUAAACAUGUUAACCCAGUACUAAUUUUGACAGUGCAAAAUAGUAGAUGUCAACUGCGCUAAGUACUAGCAAUUGGCAAAUGCAAAUCUCAGCGAUGGGUAAUGUGUUGCAUUGUGCACUGAAGAACAAUCUAAACAUAAUGAAGUUUGUGCAUGGCAAGGGCAGGCACAUACAUAAUGUUGUGCACGUUACAGAGGAAUAAAUUAGCCCGACCGGGGAUAGGCUUGUGCAAAUGUUACCUACAUGCCCAUGAAAAACCAUCAAUCUAGUUUACGUUGUCAAGAGCAGAAUGUCAAAUGAGAAAUUACUUUCUAUUUUCAGUACAUAAAACUGUCGACACUUGAUAUUGAGUACUUAAAUUCUUAGUGCUUAUUUUUUUUGGCUUAUCAAACGGGCUUUUAGGCUUCGAAUAUGUGGGCCUAGUUGAGCGCCCAAGAUCACACCAUAACUGAGAGAAUGUGAUGCAGGUGCAGAAUGGGUGAUUUGAGUGAAAUAAUGGAUGGAAUCAGAGUGUGUGGGAAUGAAUGUCGAUGGGCGGAUGCAACACGCACAUAUCAUGCCGUGAGGUCUAAACGUAUCUAAUUCGAUGAAUAAGGAUUCCAUGGUUCAGGACACUUGGUAGAAAUCAGCAGCUCUCGGUGAAAAUGAAGCCAGGAUUUUAGUGUAUGCUUAAGAGAUUUGUAACCAGCAAAGAGUGUUUCCAUUGGUUUCUUUACAACUAAGUAUCAAAUCAAUGACGUUCUGGUGAAACUUUCUUCUCUAGGUGAUUGGGAAGCGGACUUCUCGCACAGCCCGGACAUGCUGAACUCGUUUUCCUCUAAGAGGAUGCAAAUGAAACUUUGAAGAGCAGCGGAAGGCAAUGCAGAUUUUUUUUUUCAAGUGACCAAGUUAAAAACCAGGUACCCCCGCCUCUUCACCGUGUCCAUGUUCGAAAUCUUCUUUCUCUUUCGUCAUUAUCUUUGCCAACCCAGGCCUCCGAUACCAAUAAAGCUCGCAGCCUACUCUGGUCACCAUCUUCCGUGGCCUCAAUUGAAGCAUCCAUUAACUCAGGCUCCACUUCUCGCAGCAACUUCCCUAACAAAUGUGAUUCAUUAAGGAAGUUUACAUUGCACAACGAAUCAAUGACACCUCUCGUGCAUAUUUUGUAGAAUACAACUAAAUAAAACUGCUUUAGCAAAAAGGAAAAAAAAAAAAAAAGACAGAGACACUUAUGUUCCAUCUGGAAAUGAAAAAAAAAAAAAUUGUUCAGCAAGCAAAACUUCAGAUUUUUCAUACGGCUUGAGCAUUCAUCUAGGACUUUCCCGAGCACAUCAUUAGCAGUUACUGAUCAUUCAUCAAUAUAUGCUCGAGGAACUAUACUGCAAGUACCAUCCAAGCAUUUUAAAGCACAAGCCGACACACUCAAUUUCAAUCUAAGUGGGAAAAAACGGCAGUUGGGAAAGACCUGCUUACUCCAAGAACUAUUUUACCCACAAAGAACUCAUCGUGCAAUAGCCGAGCAUAGCAAAGAAGAUACCAGGUGAAGCCGCGAGAAAGGCGAAAGAUUCUCACAAACACACGUGUACACACUCGUAAAAACAUGAAUAAAAAUGUGAUAGUACCAAUGAACUUGAACUGCCUUCGCUUUCCUUCUCGAACAUACGGUUUCAGUCUCUGCAACAAAUCCACAAACAUGUCAACGGCAUUAACAAGUAAGAACUCAGACCAAACGCCUCACGAGAAACUGCCACAGAAGCAUCACCUGCGCAAGAAUCCAAGCGUCCAAGGCCGCUUGCUCCAGAGAAGCCACUCUGCAAUUCCCCUUUUAAAAAGAAAGCGAUAAUGAAUCUACAGUGCUGCAUUAUUGGACAUCAUUAUAUCCACGAAGCCCGUGAAAGCUCAAAAUGGCGCCGCCUCCAAGGCACGUCUUUUUUUCCCGUAGUAUCUGAGGAAGCGCUUGGAUCUGGAGAUGGGAAAAGGAAGCGACUUCCAUGCCCCAGGGGACGUCGCGGCCGAGCCUCGCGCUUCUUCUGGUUGAGGCUUUUCUGGGCGUCAGAGCCGUCAUCUUCUCGGGGGAUCGUACGGAGGCGGGCAGUUGGGGAAUCUGAGCCCGCGCGGCCGGUGAUGGACGUUGUUCCAAAGGGCGAAAGAGAUAUCUGGAUAAUGGCUCUCGCUUCAUUUUCCUGUUUUUUGGCUCUCUUUUUUUAAGCUGAGUGCUUGACAAAUUUCAUUGUUCAUCUUUUCAAUUCAACUCGUAUACAAUUACACCAAGAUACAAAAGAGAAGACGUUAAAACAAGCCUUCAUAAGGGAAAUGUCAUUUGAAGCUGGUUAGGUGACAUCUUUAUUCAGUGAACAUAUAUUAUCUCAACAAUUUCACCGUCCAUAAAACUUGAUGGCCUUUCACUUUGGCUUCUCCAUCCACUGGGCUACACUUUUCUCCAGCAUUCUCACGCCUUGUGAGAGCCAUUUGGGUCUUCUCAUAUCAAAUGCAGUGUACGCUACAUAAAUCCCAAUGACAAUUCCAUAAGCAUAACCUAUCCACAUUACUUUCUAUUUAAACCAACUCUCAUAUCUUUCACGGUCCUGAGUUGAUGAGGACGAUGGUGGAGGAAGUUAAGCAUUACCGAGGCAUGCUUUCAGCAAUAGAGUUCCACAUAAGCUUGGAUACCCAUUGAACGAUCCGCUUGAAAAGGCAUUCACAAUUUUUUUCUGAAUUUUUUAUAUUUUAUUUUCAUUUUUACCUUUACUUCUUUCUUUGCUUUUUCUUUUCUUUUCUCAUUAUGAUCAACGAGGGUCAUGGUGAACCUCGCUAGCCAUGAAAGACUCUCCUAGACUAGGCGAGAGCCGCCUCUCUCACAAUUAGUGGGGCCAAGGAGGCCCUCACCCGAGGCCUCCCCAAUGUCUUUGUGGCCUCGCUAGGCAUAGGAGGCUUUUGUUGCAAGCGAGGACCCUUCCCAAAUCUAGCAAAGGCAUUCACAGCCGGUGAGAGUCGCCGGUGGCCCUCGUUGGCCACAGUGGAAAAAAAAAAAGAAAGAAAAGAAACAUAAGAAUAAAAUUUUUAAAGAAUUACAAAAAUUGUUCACGUAAGCAACAGCAAUCAGUCAUGUCAUGUAGAACGACUAGCACCCACGUUAAUAAUUUCUAGCCAAAUAGACUCCUGGCAAAUUGUCAAAAGAUUUAAAACUAAAUUGAUCUAAUUCAAAUGAUUAAAAUCAAAUUUGCACGAGUACAAUAAAUUUAAGAUUUUUUUUUUAUAAUUUUUCUCGUCACUCCCUUUGUACAAAUAUUCUGGUGUCGACCCUACCCUAAUAUAUUCACCCCUAACACAACCGUCCUAGAUCUUUGUGCGUUUCUGUCUGUGUAUGCGUCUAUUUACAUAUAAUAUCUAGUGCACUUGUUCCGUGUUUACGGGAUGCAAUCGGAAUAGACCAAGGGCAUUGUUGAUUACCUCGUGUGCCGAUUGGUAUUAAUGUGGUAGGCUGCAUUCGCUCGCGACCUUCCCAGGCGAAAAAGGGUUUACUUAAGUGCAUAUGUACUUGUAUAGGAUUCAACUACAUCUGUACUGGCUGGCACCGGCAUGAAUAUUAUCCAGGUAGAUUCGAAUGCAAAAGCACAAACCGAGCGUCAAAAUAAAUAUUUACAAGAACAGAGCUUAACCUCCCUUUCUUUCUUUUUUUCUAUCAGACAAUUUGCAUUAUUUUGCUCCUCUUAUAACUCUCCGGAAUUGAUGAAAUUAGCAGGCAAUGGAAAGGUAAAGGCAAGUAAAUAACGUUUAGCGGCAUAACUAUUCUCUUUUGAGCCAUUGUGCAGGACUGAACCCGGCACUGAAUUAAAAUUAGCACCUCAUCAUCCACCUGGUACUCGGUUCAUACAUAAUCCUGAACCGUAGAACGAUUCAAACGGACCCUGGAAAAAGAAAAUGUAAAUGUUGCAAAAUAGAUUAGUACAAGAGGUGAGUAUCAGCUGUGUAAUCAUGUAUUGCUACAACAUAAUUGCCUCGCAAGGUUUCGGAGGAAAUAAGUAGAGGACUUCUGCGCCCUUAGGAGCGCUAUGCUAGCUUCUCUCUCGUUUUUCGCUGGCUGUUUUGAGUCGACUGUACUCUCCAUACAAGCUUUUGCAACUCCUAUAGGAAGUACGAGGUAGAAAAAUAUUUUGCAUAAACAUGGAAUCCAAAAUUUAUUUUGACAAUGUGAAAAUAGGAGAUGUCAACCAUGCAAACUCUUGGCAAUUGACAAAUGCGAGUUUCAGCAACGGACAAUGUUUGCAUGUGCACUGAAGAACGAUUUAAACAUGGUGAAGUUUGUCAUACCAGUUGGAGCGAUGAAACAGCCCGACCAACUAUAGAGUUGUGCAAAUGUAACCUACAUGCCAUGCGUUACCGUGUGUGGAAAACCAUCAAAUGGUCUAUGGCGUCAAGAGCUGAAUGUUAAACAAGUAGUUGAUUCAGCAGCAACCCAUGGAUAUUUUUUAUACAGCCGACAUGGAGUUGUUCAAGAUGCUAUAAAUGGACUGCAGAGAUUUGAAUGCUCCAAUAUAUAAAACUAAAUGCUCAAACGGUAAGAGAUAUGUCAACUUACUUGCCAGUCAAAAUCAAUGGUGUGAAUGGAGAAAACUUCAUUGGCCAUUUGAAUGUCUUUACUGAUUAAACCGUCAAACCACCUGCUUGCUAUGCUUGAAUACUCACAACACUCCUGGGAAUUGAAAAUUGAAAAGCAAGUCAACAUUGAGAAACCUGAACAGAUGCUAGAGAAGGAAGAUGGACAUUGUGUAGAACUAAAGUUUCAUGCAUGACCAAUGGAUCACAUCACUAAUGAACCACUUUUUCAAUAAACGUAUGAUUUGGCAUAUUUUAUGGGUGAUAAAGAUCUCAUACCAUCUCUGCCUAACAAAAAGUUGUUUAUCACGUAUUUUAUUUUUGGAUAAUUAAAAAAAGUUGUUCAUCAUCUAAAUCUGCGGUAUCGACAGUAACCUAUACAGCCAAGAUUCAACCUUGCUGUGCACUUCUAAAAAGGUAGGAGUAGCCCUUGACAAAAUUGGAAAUGAGAUAUUAAUGGCUCUAUUAUAGGAUACAGGUUAGAUGUUCUUGCUGAAGUUUUUUGCAGGAAAAACUGCUCCACACUAUUACUAAGUAACUAAUUUACACGAUACAUGUAAGACUUUGAUUUCGAAUUUUGGGUUUCAUCCAAGACCCUUUUGGCCAGUAUAGGGUAGAGAAAAUGGAUUCUGUUGCAGAAAGAUUCAUGUGAAGUCUGCUGACCAAAGUUGCACGGGGAAAUUAGGGAAGACAAACAUUGUGCAAGGUGGAGGAGGAAAUGGAUUGAUACUGCUUUCACAUCCAGUGUCAUUUUAAAGAAAAACGUAGAACAAGAUGAAAAUGCAGAAAAAGACAAAGAAAGUGAUGCCGUUUCAAAGAAAGGGACACAUGAAUUUAAAGGCAAAGGUGAGCUCCCACAAAGAUUGUGUCUUCUGAUAAACACUUUCUUUUAGACAAUUUUAUGUAAUUUUUUGUAUUAUAUGAACUAGACCAGAUUAUUUGGCACAUUAAAUGUUUCAAAUUUAUUGUAUCCUCUACGAUAUUGAAGAAAAAAUUUUUCCUUUCUCCCUCCAUGUACAUUCCCCGCGUAGCAUAUCUGCUUUUCCGCAGACUCAAAUCAUUUAAAUGUUAUGUCAUUAACCUAUUUAUUAUAUGUGGCAAUCAUCACUUUUAUUGCUGGGAUAUAGAAAAAUUGCCGUGCACGCACGUAUUAUGUUGUAUGGGCUAAUGUAUCUAAUCCCUGUAUAAGGUUUCCACGGCUUAGGACGCCCGUAGAAAUCAGCACCUCACAGUAAAUACGAAGACAGGGAUUCUAGUCUAUGCUUAGAUUUUUUAAUAAAAACUAGGGCACUAAGUAUCAAAUCAAGUCAGUACAGGUAAAACUUUCUUCUCUAGGUGAUUGGGAAGUCGACUCCUCACACAUCCCAUACAUGUUGAACUUGUUUUCCUCUAAAAGGAUGUAAAUGAGACUUUAUGUGGCAGCGGUAGGCAAUGCAGAUUUUUUUUCAACGACAAAGUUAAAACCAGGUACCUCCUCCUCUUGUUCUUGCUCGAAAUCUUCUUCUCCUUCAUCAUCAUCUUCGCCAAACCACACCUCGGAUACAGAUAAAGCUCGCAGCCUACAGUGGUCACCAUCUUUUGUAGCCUCAAUUAAAGCAUCCAUUAACUCGGGUUCAACUUCUCGCAGCAACUUCCCUAACAAAUAUGAUUCAUUAAGGAAGUUUACAUUGCAUAUUAUGGAUUCAUGAGGCAUCAAUGAAUCAUUGAAUCAACAACACCUCUUGUGCAUAUUUUGUAGAAUAAAACUAAAUAAAAAUGCCUUAGCGAAAAUAAAUAAAUAAAACUAUAAGAGAAAAAAAAAAAAAAAAAAAAACCAAAGACACUUGUGUUCCAUCUGGAAAUGAAAAAAAAGCAUUCAGCAAGCAAAAUUUCAAAAUUUUCGCACAGCUUGAGCAUUCAUGUACGCCUCUCCCGAGCAUAUCAUAAGCAGUUACUUAUCAUUCAUCAAGGUAUGCUCAAGGAACUGUACUGCAAUUACCAUCCAAGCAUUUCAAUAGUACAAGCUGACAUACUCAAACACAAUCUAAAGGGAGGGAAAAGGGGGCAGUUAAAAAAGAGCUUCUUAUCUUAAGAACUAUUCUUUUGGGCAACAACUUAUCGUGCAAUAGCCAAGCAUAGCAGAGAAGAUACCAGGUGGACCAGAUGUUCGCUUUCCUUCUCGAACAUCCGGUCCCAGUCAACAGCAUUAACAAGUAACAACUCAGACCAAAAGCCUUACGAGAACCAGCCACGCAUUGCAGAAGCAUCGCCGUCGCUAGCAUCUGAGCAUCCAAGGCCGCUUGACUCCAGAGAAGCCACUCUGCAAUUCCCCUUUUAAAAGAAAGGAUAAUGAAUCUACAGUGCUGCAUUAUUGACAUCAUUAUAUCCACAAAGCCCGUGAAAGCUCAAAAUCACGUCGCCUCCAAGACACAUCUUUUUUUCCCAGUAGUAUCUGAGGAUGCCCUUGAUUUGGGAAUGGGAAAAGGAAGCGAACUCCAUGGCCCAGGGGACGUCGUGGCCGAGCCUCGCGCUUCCUCUGGUUGAGGCUGUUCUCGGUGUCGGAGUCAGGUUCAACUUCUCGCAGCGACUUCCAUAGCAAAUGUGAUUCAUUAAGGAAGUUACACUGCACAACGAAUCAUUGACACCUCUCGCACAUAUUACGUAGAAUACAACUAAAUUAAACUGCUUUAGCAAAAAAAAGAAAGACACUUAUGUUCCAUCUGGAAAUGAAAAAAAGUGUUCAGCAAGGAAAAAUUUCAGAUAUUUCGCACAGCUUGAGCAUUCAUGUACUCCUCUCCCGAGCACAACAUCAGCAGUUACUCAUCUUUAUUGAUAUAUGCUCGACGAACUAUGGUGCCAGUACCAUCAAAGCAAUUUAAAAGUACAAGCUGACACACUCAAACUCAAUCUAAGUGGGGAAAAAGCUGCAGUUAGGAAAGAGCUGCUUAUUCGAAGAACCAUUUUGCCCGGAAAGAACUCAUCGUGCAAUAGCCAAGCAUAGCAAAGCAGAUAGCAGGUGAACCGGCAAGAAAGGCGAAAAGAUUCUCACAAACAAACACCUACACACACUCACAAAAACAUGAAUAAAACGUGAUAGUACCAAUGAAAUUGAACUGCCUUCGCUUUCCUUCUCGAACAUCCAGUCCCAGUCUCUGCGACAAAUCAACAAACACGUCAACGGCAUCAACAAGUAACAACUCAGACCAAAAGCCUCACGAGAAAAUGCCACGCAUUGCAGAAGCAUCACCUUCGCAAGCAUCCGAGCGUCCAACGCCGCUUGGUCCAGAGAAGCGAUAAUGAAUCUUAUUGGACAUCAUUAUAUCCACGAAGCCCAUGAAAGCUGAAAAUCGCGCCGCCUCCAAGACACAUCUCUUUUUCCCAGAAGUAUCUGAGGAAGCGAGGUCCAUGCCCCCAGGGGACGUCGCCGCCGAACCUCGCGCUUCCUCUAGUUGAGGCUCUUCUGGGCGUCGGAGUCGGAGUCGGAGUCGCUGCCGUCAUCUUCUGGGGGGAUCGUACGGUGGCAGGCGGUCGGGGAAUCUGAGCCAGCGCGGCCGGUGAUGGACGUCGCGGUGUGCCGAAGGGACCACACCGUUUGGAACAGACAACGGUGAGGAGCCGACGUUGUUCCAAAGGGCGAAAGAGAUAUCUGUAGUGGAUAAUGGCUCUUGCUUCAUUUUCCUUUUUUUUUUUGGCUCUUUUUUUUCUAAGCUAUGUGCUUGACAAAUUUCAUUAUUCAUCUUUUCAAUGCAACUCAUUCACCAUUACACCAAGAUACAAAAGGAGAAGACAUUAGAAACAAGCCUUGAUAAGGGAAAUGACAUUUGAUGCCGAUUAGAUGGCAUCUUUAUUUACUAAGACCACAUUACAUGGUUUAUAGAGACAACUCCUCAACAAUUUUACUAUCCAUGAAACUUGAUGGCGCUCUACUUUGGCUUCUCCAUCCACUGGACUGCACUUCUCUCUAGCAUUCUCACGCCUCGUGCGAGCCAUUUGGGCCAUCCUGUUUGAAUAGCAAUGUAUGCUAUGGAAAUCCCAAUGACAAUUCCGGAUGCAUAACCUAUCCACACUACUCUCUGUUUGAACCAACUCUCAUGCCCUCCGCGGUCCAAAGUCGAUGAGGACGAUGGCGGAGGAGAUUGAGCAUCGCUAGGGCAUGCUUUUGACAAUGGAGUUCCACAUAAGCCUGGAUUCCCACUAAACGAGUUGUUUAAAAAUGUGCUUAAUUGUUUAUCUUGAGGAAUUUGACCAGUGAGUUGGUUCUUCGAGAAGUUUAAGUACCCAAGAUAUCUCAAAUCUCCCAAUGCUCUAGGAAUUCUUCUAAUAAGCAUGUUCGAAGAUAGAUCAAGCCAUUCAAGAUUAGUUAAGUUUCCUAAAGUCAAAGGGAUGGAACUUGCAAGGUGGUUGUGAGAAAGGUUGAGCCCUAUGAGACAGCGAAGAUGGCCAAAAACUUCAAGAAUGUCUCCUUGGAAUAAGUUUUGUGAUAAGUCAAUGGUUGUGAAGAUGGUCAAGAUCUUCACUAGCUUUGUUUCUCUCCCCUUCAUCAUCACGGUCACGGUAUUUUCAUAUGACGACCCAAAGGAAAGGUAAUAUCGUGUCAUGUACGAUGGUCCGUAUCGCCCAUCUUCUGUAUUCUUCAUGCCUUCAAGGUUCAUUAUCAAGUUGGCUGGUAAAGGACUGCAAAAGUUGUUGUUCGAGAGAUCCAAAAUGCGCAAUUUCGUAAAGAUGAGAUCUCCCUUCCGAAUGUUCAAAGGACCCUUCAAAUUGUUGGACCUCAAAAUGAGAAUUUUCAGUUCUCAAAAUUUUCCCAACCAUGCCAGGAAUGUAUCCUCUAUCUGAUUGAUACUAAGAUCUAAAAUUUCCAGAUUUGUACAAUUGACAAGGGAUCGGGGCAACGUCCCUUCAAACCGAUUUCGGCUCAAGUCAAGAGUCGUUAAUCUAUGUAUCAAAGAAAUAGUUUGUGGAAUUGUGCCCUCCAAGUGAUUCAUUCCCAAGUUCAAAACCGAGAGAACAGUGCUAAAAUUUGUUAAGCACCAAGGCAAGCUACCAAUUAAGCUAUUGUUAGACAAGUUGAUCAUCUCGAGAUUGGUGGCGUUGCAUAUCAAAGAAGGGAUCAUUCCUGUUAUAACAUUAUUUGCAAUGGAGUAAUACAUUGUGACAGGAGACAGAAGUGGAAUUGGCACUCCAAAUUUGUUGUUGGACAAAUCUAUUAUGUGUAAUGAGGUGUUGGAGAAAACCUUCAUAGGGCACCAUCCAAUCAAAUUGUUGUUGGAAAUCAAUAAAUAUCUAAGAGCAGGGAAGGAGAGUUCAAAGGCAAUGAGGUUGAUCCUACCAUGAAAAUUGUUGGAUCGCAAACCAAGGUAAUGCAGGUGUGGUGCUUUCAGCCAAUGUGGGAAUAUAUCAUUAAACCCGUUGUAACCAAGUAAUAGUGUUGAUAAGUUUGCCCAUUUGACUAGGGAACGCGGUAAUGGCCCUUGUAAUUUAUUGCUAAUCAAGUUCAGAAGCUCGAGAUUGGUUAUAUUACCAAAACAUGGGGGCACAAUCCCCAAGAGAUUAUUGUAAGAUAAUGCUAGUUCUAGGAGUGAACUCAACUGACAAAUCGAAGAGGGGAUCUCACCGGUGAAACCAUUGUUCAUGGCAUAAAAGUAACGAGUAGAAGGUGAAGGGAUCGGGAGUGAUCCUUGUAAUAUAUUUCUACUCAAGCCUAGAUAGUCAAGAUUGCUUAUAUUACCAACACAUGGGGGCACAGUCCCCGAGAGAUUAUUGUCAGAUAAUGCUAGUCUUAGGAGUGAACUCAACUGACAAAUCGAAGAGGGUAUCUCACCGGUGAAACCAUUGUUCAUGGCAUAAAAGUAACGAGUAGAAGGUGAAGGGAUCGGGAGUGGUCCUUGUAAUAUAUUUCUACUCAAGCCUAGAUAGUCAAGAUUGCUUAUAUUACCAACACAUGGGGGCACAGUCCCCGAGAGAUUAUUGUCAGAUAAUGCUAGUCUUAGGAGUGAACUCAACUGACAAAUCGAAUAGGGGAUCUCACCAUUGAAACCAUUGCUCAUGGCGUAAAAGUAACGAGUAGAAGGUGAAGGGAUCGGAAGGGGUCCUUGGAGUGAGUUUUCUUGAAGGUUAAUAUACAACAACCGCUUCCAAUGUAGUUGGUGUAUACCUCCCUCCAGAAGGUUAUUAGAAAGAUCUAAAUGUUUCAAUGUAUGUUGGCUUAUUCCCCAAAACCAUCUCAGAAUCUCUCCACUAAUCUUAUUGUGAGAGAGGUUUAAGUAUGUUAAACUUUCUAAUGAAUUCAAGAAGUAGGGCAACUUGGUCAAAUUGCACGUUGACAUGUCCAACACUUGAAGCUUUGGGAGAUGGAGGGAAUUAUUGGAAUAGAGAGUGCCAUGAAUCAGAUGUUAGGCAAGAUAGAGACCGGUGACGUUACUGGUGACAUUGUCCCAAGUGACCUCAUCCCAUGAGCAGCAAUCUACACUCUUGUUCCAUGAUACGCCCAUUUCGAAUGAGCAGGGGUCUCAUGAGUAAUUGGUACAAGGCGAAUCAAGGAGGAAGGAAUUCUUAAAAUUGAGCAAGGCAUCACGCUGGUCAGGAGGGCAAAGGGGGGAGGUGAAGGGAAGAUGGGAAUGUAAGAAAAAGAGGAAAUAGAGGAGGCCAAAGAACCAAUGCCACCCCAUUUUGCAAUUUAGCACGUGAGCAGUGAGUUUACCGGAGGUGGAGAGCGCUUCCACUUAUAUAGCCUUUGUCAAGUGUGAAGUCACUGAAACAGGUCUUCACUAAGGUUCCAUUGGUGGGCUCACAACAUGUGUCACCUGUUUUGAAAGCUCUGUUACCUGGCAUACGAGUAAAUUUCAUGUAAGAUCUAGUUAGAAUGAUAUUUCAUUUCUCAUGGUUAAGGAAGAUCAGAUUUUCUAGCUAAGUCAGUUUAGUCAUAGGUACACAAGUGUGUAAAAUAAAUAUCCAAGUUAAAAGAAAUUUUCUUUCUAGACACAUACACUUUGAUUGUUCGUUAUUUUAGAUCAAUUGUGACAACGAUGGAUAGAAAGAAACAUUUAUUUGAAUUAGGCCUUGGGACCCUGACCCUUGGGGUCUACACUACAUCCUGAAGAUAAACGCAACAAUGACUUAACAACGAACAUAAUAAAGCGUAGAAAGAAGAGUACUAAUUUAUUAAUUUUUUAUGAGGCAAAGUGAUUGUUUUAUUAGUUAUAGUUUAGUAAUUUUACCAAAGUGACAUUAACUUUUCCGGUAAUCUAAUAAUUAGCGGUCAUAGACCAUAGUCGGGUAAAUGGGUUAUAAAUUCUCCAUAUUUGAGCUUUACAUUGUAGAAAUGUCCCUCCUAUUUACGACGUUCCUUAAUCAGUCCCACUUCGGGGCCUCAAAAACGGGUACCGCACUUGUUUGUGGAUGUUAACUUGGAAGGGUUUUCUUCCCAGCAUCAAUCGGCGCUGCAUUUUCUCGAUCUCAAUAUUCCAUGAAAUGAAUAAAAAUUGCUUUAAUUUAUUGAAACGUCUAUAGGCGACCUAACAAUCCACUAUAACUAAAUUGCUGAAGUUAUCACUACUAGAAAAACUGCCUAAGGUGACGAAAUUCGAUUCUGUCGCGGUGGGUAUGCCAAAGGCGACCAAAACCUUAGGUUGAGUUAAGGCGACAGUUGACUACGACAAAAAAGAAUCAUUGUCGCCUUACUUCCAAGUUGCUAACUCAACCUUUCAAAUUUUUUAAAUAUAAUUUUCCAUUUAGAAUUACAAGAUUUAAGAGUCACAAAAGAAAAUAGAAUUUAAACUGAGUUGUUCUACUUAUGAAGAAACCAAGAAAAGCUAACUAAUUGGCAACCCAUAACAACGGGAAAGCCUCCAAUAAUUCUGUCACACAUAAGAGUAAAUAAAGCCGAGAAAGUUAUUUGACACUUCACUGCAANNNNNNNNNNNNNNNNNNNNNNNNNNNNNNNNNNNNNNNNNNNNNNNNNNNNNNNNNNNNNNNNNNNNNNNNNNNNNNNNNNNNNNNNNNNNNNNNNNNNNNNNNNNNNNNNNNNNNNNNNNNNNNNNNNNNNNNNNNNNNNNNNNNNNNNNNNNNNNNNNNNNNNNNNNNNNNNNNNNNNNNNNNNNNNNNNNNNNNNNNNNNNNNNNNNNNNNNNNNNNNNNNNNNNNNNNNNNNNNNNNNNNNNNNNNNNNNNNNNNNNNNNNNNNNNNNNNNNNNNNNNNNNNNNNNNNNNNNNNNNNNNNNNNNNNNNNNNNNNNNNNNNNNNNNNNNNNNNNNNNNNNNNNNNNNNNNNNNNNNNNNNNNNNNNNNNNNNNNNNNNNNNNNNNNNNNNNNNNNNNNNNNNNNNNNNNNNNNNNNNNNNNNNNNNNNNNNNNNNNNNNNNNNNNNNNNNNNNNNNNNNNNNNNNNNNNNNNNNNNNNNNNNNNNNNNNNNNNNNNNNNNNNNNNNNNNNNNNNNNNNNNNNNNNNNNNNNNNNNNNNNNNNNNNNNNNNNNNNNNNNNNNNNNNNNNNNNNNNNNNNNNNNNNNNNNNNNNNNNNNNNNNNNAAAAUCUAUUAGUUUGAUAAAGUGCUUAUCAAAAAGGGAGAGUGGACUAGGGUUGGGAAUGUGCUUGGGAAGUUGUUUGCACGCCAAAAAGGGAGGGUGGACUCGGAUUGAUCGAUCUAAAAUUAUGGAACAAAGUUUUGUCAGGCAGUAGGCUUUGGAUCUUCAUAUAACCGCCUUGGAGAUCAUUUAACGAGAAGAGAUUCGACUUAACAAGAAGAGAUUCUUAGCCAUUAUUUAGGGGCUUAUUAUACUUCGAUCCAUCCACUAGAAAAAGCAAUGAGAUCCACCCCAUUUUUUGCUUCAGCAUGCGAGUAAAAGUUCUUCCAGUUAUACAGCCUUUGUAAAGUGUAAAUUGAUCCACGCAAGUCUUCUCUAGAAGGUCUGCUGGUGAGCUUCCCAAAUGGGCUAGCCGUUCUAAAAGCUCUAUCGGUGGGAUUGUUGACUAUGUGUUUACUAUAAUGAUGUUUCAAUAGCUGGGCUAGGAUGGAAUAUUAUUGGUGGUGACAUACCCGUCUUCUAAGGGUCCGAAACAGCUGUCAAACUAGGGAGAAGUUAUUUCAUGGGUUGAAUCCAAAUUUAUGUCCUUUAGAUACUCUCAAUGGCGACUCAUCGUGGGACAAACAUAACAUAUUCAUGAUGAAUUGAGGUUGUCGUUAGUCAGCCGAUUUGAAGAAUUCUGAUUCCAAGGUUGACCAGGUUUCAUGUCCUUUUGUUUUGGGCAAGAAACUUGUUCCUUAUUCAUGGGUUGAACCCAAAUUUCUGUCCUUCAGAUACUCUCAAUGGCAACUCNNNNNNNNNNNNNNNNNNNNNNNNNNNNNNNNNNNNNNNNNNNNNNNNNNNNNNNNNNNNNNNNNNNNNNNNNNNNNNNNNNNNNNNNNNNNNNNNNNNNUGCCGCCCUCGCGGCCACUGGCGAGGUGGCCGGCGAGGUCGACCUCGCCGGCCAUCGUCUCUGGCCGGUUGUCGAGCUCCGGCGACCGGUUGGAGGAAGAAGAUGAGAAGGAAAAAAAGAAAAAAAAAGAAAAAAAAAUUAAAAAUAUUUAAAAAUAUUAAAAUAUUAUUAAAAAUUGUACACGUCAGGGCCGAUCAAGCCACGUCAGCCAGCCGGCGUCCAAUCAGCAAAAUCCGGCCAAAAUUGGCCGGAAAGGACUAAAUUGGCACAACAUAAAAAGGUUUAGGACUAAAUCGGCACCAAAAAAAGGUUUAGGACUAAAUCGGCACAAAGCCAAAAGGUUUAAGACUUUUUUGGCACUUUUCCCAGCAUAUUACUCAACUCUAUCACCAUCUGAUAGAUGAAUUUAGAUAAUCUAUCGGGAAGUGUGCAAUCAUUUAUGAAUUUUUUCUUGAAUUUACAGAUACUUUGAAUCUCUAAAAUCUAUUAGUUUGAUAUAAAGUGCUUAUCAAAAAGGGAGAGUGGACUAGGGUUGGGAAUGUGCUUGGGAAGUUGUUUGCACGCCAAAAAGGGAGGGUGGACUCGGAUUGAUCGAUCUAAAAUUAUGGAACAAAGUUUUGUCAGGCAGUAGGCUUUGGAUCUUCAUAUAACCGCCUUGGAGAUCAUUUAACGAGAAGAGAUUCGACUUAACAAGAAGAGAUUCUUAGCCAUUAUUUAGGGGCUUAUUAUACUUCGAUCCAUCCACUAGAAAAAGCAAUGAGAUCCACCCCAUUUUUUGCUUCAGCAUGCGAGUAAAAGUUCUUCCAGUUAUACAGCCUUUGUAAAGUGUAAAUUGAUCCACGCAAGUCUUCUCUAGAAGGUCUGCUGGUGAGCUUCCCAAAUGGGCUAGCCGUUCUAAAAGCUCUAUCGGUGGGAUUGUUGACUAUGUGUUACUAUAAUGAUNNNNNNNNNNNNNNNNNNNNNNNNNNNNNNNNNNNNNNNNNNNNNNNNNNNNNNNNNNNNNNNNNNNNNNNNNNNNNNNNNNNNNNNNNNNNNNNNNNNNNNNNNNNNNNNNNNNNNNNNNNNNNNNNNNNNNNNNNNNNNNNNNNNNNNNNNNNNNNNNNNNNNNNNNNNNNNNNNNNNNNNNNNNNNNNNNNNNNNNNNNNNNNNNNNNNNNNNNNNNNNNNNNNNNNNNNNNNNNNNNNNNNNNNNNNNNNNNNNNNNNNNNNNNNNNNNNNNGGCCACAGUCGACUGGCAGUAGAGAAAUUUGAUCGACCCCAUCACGCACGUUAAAGAAGUCCAUCUUCAGUUUGACAAAUAAGGAACAAGUUUCUUGCCCAAAACAGAAGGAAAUGAAUCCUAUUCAACCUAGGAAUCAGAAUUCUUCAAUCGGCUGCCUAACGACAACCUCAAUUCAUUGUGAAUAUGUUAUGUUAGUCCCACGAUGAGUCGCCAUUGAGAGUAUCUGAAGGAUGGAAAUUUGGGUUCAACCCAUGAAAAUGGGCUGGACGGACAUCGUGACGGACAGUGAAAUCGAGUAUUUUAAUCAAGCCUUUCAUAAGUCUUUCUUUUAAAAGAUGAAAGACUCGUGGAAUACUAAGAUGCAAUAUAAUUGGUGGUGACAUAGCGACUCAGUCUAUGCAACCCUUCUGACAAGCCAAGUGAUCAACACCAAAGUCUUCUCUCAAAAGGUCUGUCGGGUGCGCUCAUGCCAAACAACAUAUUAUUAUAUUCCCCAGUGCUUUCACCGAAAGGCCACAUCAAAUGGAAUUGGAUUUCCAUGUAAAAAGCGUUCUAGCUUUGUCAAAAUUAAACAAAGUUUAGAAAAGGAGGCUGGGACAGAAUUUAUUAUCAUAUUCCCUGUCUUUGGAAUAAUUUUUUACCUCCUAAAAUAAGAAAGACAAACUUCAAUAGAAAACCUUGCCAUGAAUUACCCUUAAUCAAACCGGACCAUGUUUCUCGGUAUUUUUUUCUUCCUCUUUGCAUUGAUCCUAAAGUUACGUUCAGAGAUGACCCGGAAAGAAUAAAAAUGAAAUCAUCCAUCAGUUCGACUAGUAACGCCUUUUGAUGAAAUAUAACGCGGAAACUAAUAUUAGAUCUUGCAUUUUAAGUCAAUGCGAAAUUACUGAAGAAAUAAACAAGGGACAAUAAAGGAUAUAAAAAAUUUUAUGCUCGAUCCAAGUAUUGGUACUCACAUUUACGGGGAAAGCAAUAACAAAUAAUUCACUAUGAUCAGAUAAUCAAAAUUAUAAUUACCCACGUACUUGAGUAUUUUUUACAUUAUGCUUAAGCACAUAGUUUUUAUUAAUAAAAUAACUCAAUUGGACAGAAAUUCACAGCACAAAAUUCACCAUGGUCAACACUCCUCCGUGCGAUCGAAAAAAAGAGUCACCGUGCGACCCCUGUCUUACUUCGCGGUUCGUCUUUUUUUCUGGAGUUCACUACACGGCUUGAAGGAAUUCUGCGCGGCCAAAGACAGGUACUCCACCCUACAGGAUUUAUGCGUGCCCCUUUUUCUUGUUCCUUUUCUCGUGCGGCCUUUAGACGUCCACCGUACGGCUUGUCAAGGAAUUAAUUACAGCCAAUCAACAAAGAAAUAAACCUGCGAUCAAAGCAAAUAUACUCAAUCCUCAAUUAUCUAUAUCUAACAAAACCACCCGUCCAACAAAAUCCAAACUUGAAUCGGAUUAAUGGGCCCACCGAAUUUGAACAAAUUAAGAUCCUCCAAACAGCUCGGAUUUCAUACAUGGGCUAAACUGCGAGAUACAAUGUAAUACCUAUUGUUUGCAAUCAAAAAAGAUAUUUUAUUGUUGCCAGUGCAACAAUAUGCGGUGGCAUGCGUCCAAAGGAAAUGGCAUCACUCCCUUUGUAUUAUCCCAACAAAGUGGGUGGUCAAACAAUAUUCAAGCAAAUCUUCAAGCCAUCAUCAAAUUUACUUAGAAUGAUAUGAUGAGCUGAUGCAGAGGUGGAUAAUAGAAGAAAAAGAACAGAUGACGAUGGUCACAUAAUUUUUAACAUCUUAUUAUCUUAUCUUUAUAUCAUGAUAAAAUUAGUCCUAACUCCAUAUUUUGGAGUAGGCCAUCUUGACCUUGUCAUAAUAUAUUCACCACCAACACACUACAGUUCUAGAUCUUUGUCUGUGUAGAACGUCUAGCAUACUUGUUUCGUGCUUAGGUGAUGUAAUUAUAAUAGACGCGACAUUGAGAAUAUGAGAGAGGAUACAGUAAGGGCAUAUUUCAAUGUAGUUGAUUACUGUGUAUGCAUAUUGAUAUUUAUGUUGUACGCCAUAUUAGCUCACAACCUUCCCAGGGGAAAAAAUCUGGUGGUUUAAUUUCAGUGCAGGUGUAUUUGCACCAGAUUCAAGCACAUAUGUUCCGGCAAGAGCAUGAAUAUUACUCAGGUGGGUUCAAAUGCAAAGAAUAAACCGAGUUUUGCAUAUACCUACAAAUGAGCAUCAAAAUAAACACUCAUAAGAAGAGAGCUUAAUCUCCCAAUCUUUUUGCAUCGGAUAAUUUGCAGUAUAUCGCUCUUCUUAUAACUCCCCAGAUCUGAUAAAAUUAGCAGGCAUUGGAGAGGCAAAGGCAUUGUUAAUUUCGCUCUUCUUAUAACCAUUCGCCUUUUAGCUGUUGCCUAGGAUUGAAAACGGGACUUCCUGAAUUUAGCACCCCCAUCAUCCAUAGGUAUUCCUUUCUUAUACUACCCGGAAUCACGAAACGAUUUAACCAGAACCCAGGAAAGAAAAUGUAAUGUUACAAAGUAGAUUACCACAAGAGGUGUGUGUCAAUUGUGUGAUCAUAUAUCGCUAUUAGGUAAUUGACUCGCAAGGUUAUGCAGGAAAUGGGUAAGAGACAAACCAUGCUAACCUCUCUCAUUUUCAUUAGCAAUGACUGGGUGUUCUUGAAUAGACUGUACACUCCUCAUAAGCUCUCGCAGCUCCCAUUGGAAGUACAAUGUCACCAUUACCAUGUGAACCUGAAGAUAAUUUUGACAAUGCGACAUACGAGAUGUCAACCGCGCUAACUACCGGCAAUUGGCAAAUGACGAUGCACACUGAAGAACGAUCUAAACAUGGUGAAGUUUGUGCAUGGCAAGGGCAGGCACAUGCAAAAUGUUGUGCAAGUAAUAGAGAAAUGAAUUAGCCCAACUAACUGUAGGCUUGUGCAAAUGUUACCUACAUGCCGAUGAAAAACCAUCAAUUUGGUUUACCUUGUCAAGAGCAGAAUAUCAAAUGAGAAAUUACUUUCUAUCUUUAGCACAUAAAACCGUCCACACUUGAUAUUACAUACUUAAAUUCUCGGUACUUAUUUUUCUAGACAAAUCAAACGAGCUUUUAGGCUUCGAAUAUGCUGGCCUAGUUAAGCACCCAAGAUCACCCAUAAAAGAGAGCAUGUGAUAAGGGUGCGGGGUGGGCCAGUGUUGUUUUGAGUGAUAAUACAUGGAAUCAGAGUAUGUGGGAACGGAUGUCAAUGGGUAAAUGCAACACGCCCAUAUCGUGCUGUGAGGUCUACUUUAUCUAAUUCGAUGAACAAGGAUUCCACGAUUUAGAACACUUGUAGAAAUCAGCAGCUCUCGGUAAGUAUGAAGCUAGGAUUUUAAGUGUAUGCUUGAAAGAUUUGUACCCAGCAAAGUCUGUUUCCAAUCAUAGGGAAGUGGACUCCUCACGCAGCCCGUACAAGCUGAACUCCUUUUCCUCUGAGAGGAUGCACAUGAAACUUUGAGUAGCAGCGGUAGGCAAUGUAGAUUUUUUUUUUCAGCAACAAAUAAAAACCAGGCACCCCCUUCUCUUCCCCGUGAUCAUGUUCAAAAUCUUCUCCUCCUUUGUCAUUAUCUUCGCCAACCCAGGCCUCUGAUACAGAUAAAGUUUGCAGCCUGCUCUCGUCACCAUCUUUUGUGACCUCAAUUGAAGCAUCCAUUAACUCAGGUUCAACUUCUCGCAGCGACUUCCCUAACAAAUGUGAUUCAUUAAGGAAGUUACACUGCACAACGAAUCAUUGACACCUCUCGCACAUAUCACGUGGAAUACAACUAAAUUAAACUGCUUUAGCAAAAAGAGGAGAAAAAAAAAAAAAAAAAAAGCCACUUAUGUUCCAUCUGGAAAUGAAAAAAAGUGUUCAGCAAGCAAAAAUUUCAGAUAUUUCGCACAGCUUGAGCGUUCAUGUACUCCUUUCCCGAGCACAACACCAGCAGUUACUCAUCUUUAUUGAUAUAUGCUCGACGAACUAUGGUGCCAGUACCAUCAAAGCAAUUUAAAAGUACGAGCUGACACACUCAAACUCAAUCUAAGUGGGGAAAAAGCUGCAGUUAGGAAAGAGCCUCUUAUUCGAAGAACCAUUUUGCCCGGAAAGAACUCAUCGUGCAAUAGCCAAGCAUAGCAAAGCAGAUAGCAGGUGAACCGGCAAGAAAGGCGAAAAGAUUCUCACAAACACACACCUACACACACUCACAAAAACAUGAAUAAAA